UUUUUUUUUUUUUUUUGUAUUUGCAAAUAGUUGUAAAUGAAAUAUUUUCAGCAUUCAAAUGAGUGACUACAAAACUUCAUAGUUAAUAUCAAGAUUUAUGUCGUUUUUUUAAUUAUUAUUUAGUAUUUCGUGGAUAUGAUAUUACUUUAUUAUUUAUUGCGACGAACAUUUAUUUUAUAUUAUAUUUGAAAGUCAUGGAUUCAUUUUUCUCAUAUCUACAUUCCAUUUUAUUAAUGGGAUUUGAUUAAUGUAAAGUUAUUUUAAAAUUUCAUUCAUGUUUUAAAUCCCUUGCUUUACUUGCACCUUUUGCAAAAGAAUAACUUAUUUAAUAUUUUAUAUGUGGCACGUUUUUUUAGUUUCUCUUUUGUAUAUUAGUGUUGAAAUUAGUAGAUAUAGUUAGAAUUAAUAGAUUGCUUUUUAAUUAGUCUAAUACUAUCACAUAAGUAACCAAAUAGAUCUUGUUAACAUCAUUAUUUAAAAUAAAGAGUUGAACUUUAUUAACCAAAUUUAAAAAAUAAAAUCAACCUUUUUACAAUUAAAAAUAUAUAACAAGGCAACAAAAUUCAAAGGUGAAACAUGUUUGUAUAAACUUAAUUAACUAUUCCCAAUAGGUUUUAAUUAAUGAUUUAGUUUUUCUUUAAAAAAUAAUAUGCUUCAAAUAUGUUUCUUUUUUAAAUAAGAAGGACGAUACUUGUAAAUUAUUGAAAAAAUAAUUGUUAUUGAUAUUUUGAAAUAAUUUUAUUUUUUAAAAAAAUUUGCACAUAUAUUAUAUAAAAUGAAUAGUGUUACCCCUUUCUAACCAUGUAAGCUAUAUUCCUACAAAUAGGCCAAAAGCAUUCUGACUUUUGCUGAAAAGAGUAGGAGCAAUAGUAAUGGAAAAAGUGGGGCUGAACAAGAGAAAUCAGUGGCUGAAAUUCCUUCAAAUCAGUACCAACAACUCCUGGACGUUGAUCCUCAAGAUGAGGGUACGUAUAUAACAAUUUUUUGAAUUCUCUUUUUACUUAGUCUCUGUAGGCAUUUUUUGGAAGAAAAGGCUUCUGACUUGGCAAAAAUAGAAUAAAAUAAUUGUUAUGGCAUAGCAACACGAGUUAAAAAUGAACAAAGUUUUUACCAUGGUUAAUUUCUCUGGAGAUGAUGGUGGGUCAGCUGUGCCCAGCUUCUUUGUUUGUUUUCAAAAUUUGUACAGAUAUUCAUUUUAGUCAUACAAAAUACAGAUACAUUUUUAUGGUUGGAAAUAUAUGGGUUUGAAAAGUCUAGUAAUGUUGCUAAUCUAUAUAUCUCUCACCUAAUAGCCAACCUUUUGUAGAGUUCAUUCCUAGGGGUGUUCACGAUUUGAGUUAAAAUCAAAUCAAAUCGAUUUGAGUUAAAAUCAAAUCAAAUCCUUUUUAGGUUUGAAUUGAAUUGUAACUAUUCUGGUCUAAUUAUUAUUUUUUCUUUUAUAUAUUAUACAGUGGAUUUAUAAAUGGUUUAGUUUUGUUUAUUUUUCAAUAAUGGUUCAUGAGAGUUUAUGAUUGAUCUUUCUAACCUUUUAAAACACCUCCUUCAUCUACCAAGUCCUCUUAAGCACCGUUUGAUCUCCAUAUGAUCUUGGUACUUGUGGAUUAUGAGUGUGGUCCACGUUUGAGUGAAACUUGGUCCUACUACCACAUUUCACUGUAAAAUAUUCCAACAACAUUAAGAAGAUAUGACUGCAUAUAUGGUCUUCUCAACCAAAACAUCACAACUUGGUUGUUCUCAAUGCAACCUCUAGGGCUUUUGGAACCAACUUAGUUGUGCAUUUCAGGUCCCCUUCCAUCUCUUCUUCCUUUGAGCGUAACUUGGCUUUAAUACCAAGUGUCACGGGUUCAAGUUCAAACAUAAAUUUUUAAUCUUUAUAUCGUACGACCUAUGAUGUCACACUCUCUUAAUCAACACUCACUCUCUUUAUACACUUUACAACUCAACAACUUUCGUAGAAUAGUUCAAAACUUGUAGACUUACUGAAUAGUCCUAAGCUUCACUCUUCAUGCUGAGACUAGUAAGUGGUCAAGUUAAACUUCCACUUACGAAGGAAGUGUUUAGACUUGCACCCCACUCCAAGACUUCAACAUACUUCACACCUAGUUUCUUGGAUGUGAGCAUUGCUUUGAACAAUAUUUCUUCCUCUUCAGGUUCCAGUUUAGGAUUCUUCUUUAUCUUAUCAUCAGAGUUACUCAAUAGUCUGAUCUUAGAUGUGUUGCUUGUAGUCUCUGUCUGAGUUUUGCUAUCCAAGACAGAUACUCAUUAUUGUAUAGUCUUUUGUACGCUCACAAGAUUUGGGUUUACGAACUUUUUGAAAAUCUCCUCAUCUCGUUUGAGAGUGACUUGUUCUUCCUCAGCAUUAAGGGCCUUUAUACAUGUUGACACUUGUUUUGCACUUUCGUAGUGAUGUUGUCCAAUGUGCUGACAAAUGCAAUUACUUCGAUCAAGGCUUGGUCUAAAGUCUCGAUAUGAUUCCUUUGGGCUUCGUGAUGAGCAACUUCAACUUGAGUUGAGCAAAUUAUCCAACCGUAACUUCUCAAAACACUCAUAAACCUAUUUGUUGAUUGGUUGAACUCUUAAAAACAUUUAAAAACUUAGAGAAUCCUUCGAUCGACCGACCUAAGGUCAAACCUAUCAUCUUAGUGGUAGGUUAUUAUUAUUAUUAUUAUUAUUUCCAUAUGGUACCUAGUCUCCAAGCCCACCAUUUUGAUUGAUUUAAAUUUUUAAAAGCAGUAAAUUAUGUUAACCUAACAAUAAUACUUCAUCAAUUCAUUCUCUUCAUCUCUCAUUUUCUUUCACCUUAAUUUAGAUGGAAGAAAAAAAUAUUUAAUCGACGGACCUUCCGUUCACACCAUUUUAUGAUAAGUUUUAAGUGUCGUUUUUUUAAAUGACACAAAACGACACCAAACAGUCAAUAUGUACACUCCUACUACAAGGUACCUAGAGCGUAUCACGUAGAUACACCUUGAAUAACUGGACUAACAAUAAUGUUGUAAUACAAAUUCUAGAUACUUUUGUAAUCCCAUCCAACCCCUAAACUGUAAUCACCUAUUUAAAUGUUUUUUUUUUUUGUUUUGUUGUAAAAGUAAUGUUGGGUUAAUUUGUUUGUAGAUCUUCCAUUGGCAAGGAAAAGGUCACUUCAUAGAUUUUUGGAGAAGCGCAAGGAGAGGUAACAGCCCUCAGUAUUGAUUUUAUACGUAGUUUACUAUAUUACUAGAUUAAUUUCUCUGUUUUUGUGUGUGAUAUUAUAAAACAAAGAUAUCCACCUCAUCUCAAUUCUCAACCAAAUUAAAAAUGCCUAAUGGAAGUGUAUAAUGUAAUUAACUUAAUUUGGUUUUACUUUUGACCAUAAUCUUGUACUCUAUAAAACAAUUUCAAAUUUUCAUUUUGACUUUCUUUUUUUGUGUGCCUAAUUUUACCUUUCAUAUCCCACAUGGUUGAUAUGAGAAGACGUGACCGCAUUUAUUUUUUAAAUUUGAUAUUCAAAAGUUUAAGUCUAGUCCUAUAAUCUUGGAAAUUGGAAUAUGCUUAAAAUUUUAUUCUUAUAAAGUCAGUCAACUUUCUUGAAGGAUUAGGUGAGAAGUUAGUACGUAGGAGUGGUAAAGAUUCUUUACUAAAGUGUGCAACGGGACAUCUAACUCUACCAAGCCGCUUGAUUGGACUUGUUUGGAUCAAGAAUGCUCCAAAUAAAUAAAGUGUUUGUUGAUACCUUUCUUAAAACCCUUAUAAAUAGUCACGUAUUUUUAUUGUAUCCAAUAUUAUCAAAAUAAACUCUAACUAAUUUUGGGAAAGAAUCAUUGUUGUUAAUAGGAGGAAAAAUAGAAGAAAGAGAAAAGGGAGAAGAAAACUCUUACUAAAUGGAAAGAGAAAAAAAAACACAAAAAAUGAAAGUGAAAACAAGUAGAGGAGGGGGAGAAGAUGAGUGAGAAUGGGAAACAAAAUUAGAAAACAGAAAUAGAGAAAAUUGAUGGUCGAGCAAAAGCAAAAAAAUGAACAGUGAAAACUCCAGCCAUGGUAAGAGAAAGAAAGAAGAUUUCCAUUCCUAUACGUGACAUAUGGGUAAAUCAAUAAUCCACAUUUUCAUUCCAUCCCCAUGGUUUGAAAUAACAAAUUACUUGGUGAUAAGAUUAUAUUUUGUUUCUUUUCUUAUAAUAAUGAAAUGAUAUUCGAUGCUUGAAAGAUUGAAGAAAGUAUUCGAUAUAAAAAUUCACAAAAGGAAUGUUACUAACAACUUUUUACUCUUCUAUAUAUUUUAAAUUUAAAAAAUCAUAAAAAACAGAACAUUUAACAAAUAUUUAUACUAACAAAUUUAUUUUGUUUUUUAAUGAUUUUGUUUUAUAAAGGUAAAUAAUUUGUUAUUUUUUUCUAUUUUUGAAAUAACCCCUUUCAUUUGAGGUUUAUUGAUAUUUUUAUGGACAAGGAUAAGUAUAUCAAUUAUGUUUAAAAUAUUAGUAAAUAAAACACAAUAUGAAAACAUUUGUAAAUAUAUAAAAAUUUAAAACCAAUUCUUAAAGUAUCAGUGAUCACUAUAAUUACAAAAUAAAAAUAUUCAAUACUUUCAUAUUUGAAAAGUUUAUGUAUUGUUUAAUUUUAAGAACAUAAUAUUUUUAUUUUUAAAAAAUGUGUUUAGUAUUAAAAUAGUGUAAAUGCUAAUUAUCAACCAUGUUGUUAUUAUUAUUAGACUACGAGGUUUAUACUUUAACCUAAAAAUGUCAAAACAAAAAAUACGUAAUAAAAUACAACACAACAUCUAUAUUUUGAAGACUAACAUUAGCAUAACUCAAUUAUUAUACAAAUAAUUUAGCGUUAAGAAUAUUUCAAAAAUUUUAAUUUUAAAAAGAAAAUAUUCCUCUUUAAACUCAAUAUAUUUAUGCUCUAGAACAUCAUUUUUCUAUUUAGUUUUGAGAAUUACAUAUUCAAUUUGGUACCAAUGUGUUGGUCAUAUGAAAUACUAACAAUAAUAAUAAAAAAAUCAAAUUCUCCUUUAUUACACAAUUUUAGGAUUUUAGUUUUGAGGAAACAAAAAUAAGACAAGGAAAAAUAAUUAUAAAAGUAGAUAGACAAUUUUGUUAAUCAUCCAUGUCUGCCAAUAUUCUUAUUUCCCUCUCUCUUUUCUUAUUUUUAUUGCUUUUUAUUUUUUCCUUUCCCACCUUAACUUAUUAAAAAAAAAAAAAUAGAAUGUGAAAAAAUGUUCAUUCUUUAUAGAAUACAUUUAGUUUUUGAAACACAUUUUUUGUAUAAAGAAAAUUAAGUUGCUUUAAACAUUUUAAGCAUGUAAUGAUUAAAUGAGCUUAGCUAAUUAGCAAUUAGAAUGCAUUAAUGAUUAAUUAAUUUUUGAUUGGGGUUAUGAUGAUGUGUAGGUUAAUUCCCGUGGGGCCUUAUGUUUGUCAUUUCUAACGAGGCAAUGGAAGAAUAUUUGUCAAAUUGGGAAUUAUUACCCUUAAUUCUCAUUUUAAUUCUACUCUAAUAAAGUACAAAUUAUUAUUUUAAUUUGUAGUACUAUUUAUUUCCAUUCAUUUUAUUGUUUUAUUAGGGUUACAAAGGUUGUGCUUACCAACUUUGCUUUAAACUCUUUCCAAUCACAUUUCUUCACCUAAUUCUUCUUAUCCUUUUAUCCUUCACUUCUAGAUUAUAAAACUUCACUUUCAGCCUGUUGUUAUAAUAAAUUAUAAUUAAGUUACAAAUAUAUUCUUGGAAUAAUUUUAUUUUAGAUCAUAUCAAUCAUCCCAUGGGCCAUAUGAUACAAAGCCCAAUAACGAGCAUCUCAUGGGCCAUCAUACUGAUACAAAGCCCAAAUAAUAAAAGAACGAAAAUUGAGGUAUUGAGCAUAGAGACCAACACCUAAACUAUAAUACAAAAUAUUAAUAAAAUUUUUAAAAAGAACAAUUAGACAUAAAAUAUUAUUAAUACAAAAGAAAGAAAAAUUAAUAAAUAUUGUAGAAUUUAGCGAGAUUUACAUUUUCUUUUUCUUUUUUAGAUUUUAUCCAAAAAAAAAAUUAAAACUCCCUUUUAACUAUUUUAGUAAGUAUUAUAUUUUUAUUUUCUUAAGGUGAUUUUGUGAGCAAAUCAUAAAACCUACGUGUACAUAUUAGCUCAACGAUACGUGGAAAUGAUGGUUUUAAUUUGAUUCAAUUUUUAAACCUAUACUACGUAUAAUUGAUGCCAUAAAGAUGAUUAGUAUACAAUACGAUUUGUUUUAUGCCUAAAAAGAACUCCGUUUUUAGAUUUUUGGUUGCAAUUUCUUAUGGCAUUUGGCAAUCCACAUUCACAAGUUUUUUUCGUUUAAGAUGUGUAAUAUGAUCAAUAAUAACAUUCAAGUAGUUUACGCUCUCAAAUAUUCCAUUAAUAAACGAAAAUAUUAACCGCAAAUAACUCAUUGGAGUUAAUGAUCUACAUGAUUACAACAAAUUUCAAAAUCUAAAGAAAGCUCUAAAAAAAUGAUGAGAAAUACUUCAUGAAUCACAAUGAAUUAGUAAAUAGACAUGAAGAAUCGAUAUACAAAAAUCACUUUCAUCAAUUUGGCAAUAAUCACCAUAUGUAGUAGGACAAAUCUUAUCUUACCAUUCACAAAAUGACACUUUGUCAUUAACUAUUAAAAAAGAGAUUAUAUAUUAUUGAUGGAUUAAUUUAUAAAAGAGAGAAUACAUGACCAUUAAGGAAAAAAAAAAGGGUGAAAGAAAAAAGCCAAAAAUGGAUUACUUUUUCAAGAAUUAAUAGUCCCUUCCAGAUUCCAUUACUAAAGAACUUUGGUCUUUACUUAAAAGAAAUUAGAAGAAAAAGAAACUUUAAUUCAAUUUGUGGUUUAAUUGGAAGUAAAAGAAAAAAAAAAACUGUAAAAUGAAUGGGCAAUAAUUGCAUUAAGCAAUUAUAUAUGCAAAAAAAAGAAAGAUCAAAUAUGAAAAACUAUAUAGUAAGACUUCUUCAACACUAAACCCUAAUUCCUCCCUUAGAUUUGGGACUAUAUAUUAAGAGUUCAUAUAUAUAUUAAAGGGGGCCCUAGAAUAUAAAAAGUGGUGCAUCCCAACAUAUAUGAACCCCCUCUUUGUUUCUUUAUGUAAUUAUAAACAUUAUUUCAUUUGAAUGAUUGAGAAGUUUUUUCAAAAUUGCUAUGAUGAUUAAUUGCAUUAUUUCCCUAUCUCAUUAUUCAUUUCUCAAAUUCUAAAUCCGAUUCAACUUUUUAUAUUAUUGACCUAGUAACCGACGAUGAAAAUAAUCUUAUUUGUUUACUAAUUAAUUUCUUUUCUAGAGAUUGAAAUACUAUAUUUGCUCAGUACAAUUACGAGUGAGUGUCGUAUCGAACAUUAUCUAAAUUACCCUAGACAAAGGUUAUGUUAUUACCCUUGUGUUAAAACUUAGAACUUAGAUGGACUAAGUUAAAGUACUAAUGACUUACCAUUCUAGGACAAAUUAAAAGGAAAGAAUCGAGAAAUUAAACAAAAUAUAGUUUUAAUCUCAACCAUUUUAAUCAUAAACUUUUAAGCGCGCCCAUUGAAAUUUUAAUUAUAUGUACAUCAAUGGAGCUGAAUUUGUUGGAAGAGCUUUUUAGACCAAACUAAAAUUUCAAGUUGAUCGAGCUAGCUACUAGAAAAAUAGAAGAAGAUCUUCAACCCAACAAUUAAGAAAUUUUUUUGUCGAGUGUAUUAAAUUUUGUAUUUGAGCAGUUUAUGAAAAAGAAAAAGGUGUAGAAGAGAGGAGGCAGCAGUACACAGCACAAUGGGGGCGUAGGAAUUGGAGUAAUUAGGAAAUUACAUAUAAUUGAGUCCACACAACACACACACCUGGUGGAUCCCUUUCCCUUCCUAAGAUUCAACACCCCCACACAUUAUAAUUAUUCAAUCCAAAUGCUUCUUUAAAGAUAAAAUACUCAUAAAUUCAUGAACAACCAUAUAUACAAAACCAAGUUUUUAGAAAAUAAUAAUAAAUUAAUAUUAUAUAACAUCCAUAUAAUAAAAGUACUGGACUUUGUAAAAGUAGAAAACGAGUGAAAUGAUAUCUUUAACUUUAUUUUAAUAAUUGUCUCUCAUUUCUCACCCUUAAUCUGUUUGUGUGUGUGGGUAGAAGAGUACGUUUCACACACAUGUUUUUAUUUGUAUUUUUGUGUUUGGUUGUAUGUUAGAGGUAAAUAGGUUUUGAAGAAGCUGGGGAGGAUAGCUAAGAGAGAGAGAGGCAUUUAGAGAAGAGUACUAAUGAGAAAAUGAGUAGUAGUACUAGAGUCGUCGUUGCAAAAAUGGGAACAAUCACAGAAGCUUUAGAAUGCUCUCUUCAAAAAUGUUCCUUAACCCAUAAUCAUCAUCAUCAUCAUCAUCAUCAUCAAACUCAUCAAGCUCAUCAACAACCUCUAAUUUCUUCUUCUUCUUCUUCUUCUUCUUUUUCUUCUUCUUCUUCUUCUAUUCAUCAGCAUCAGCAUCAGCAAUCAACCUCUUUGGAUCUCAACUCUCAUCUCUCUUUGCCUUACCAUUGGGAGCAAUGUCUUGAUUUAAAGGUUUUUUCCCUUCCUCUUUUCCUUUUUUCAUUUAUAUAUUCUUCCUAAGAAUAUUAAACAAAAAAACUAGGGUUUGAGUUUCACCAAAAAUCCCUUUCUGAACUUUUUCUAUUGUUUGGUUCUACAAGUCAUGACAUGGGCUUGGGUUUGAAUUUGAAGAGGAAUAACCUAUAUGUGGAUUUUUUUAAAAAAGAUUAUGUAAAAAAAAUAGCUUUUUGAACUUUUUUUCUUGUUUGGUUCUCUAAUUCAUGAAGUGGGUUAGGGUUUGAAUUUGAAGUGGAACAAUAUAUAUGUGGAUUUUUUAAAAAAAAUUAUAUACACAAAAAUCCCCUUUUUAAACUUGUUUGUUUCUACAAAUUAAUCAAGUGGGUUAGGGUUUGAAUUUGAAAAGGAAUAAUAUAUAUUAUGUGGAACUAUAAUUUUUGUGAUUUUCUUUUUGGUUGUUGAUUUGUAGACAGGGGAGAUAUACUACAUAAAUUGGAGGAAUGGAAUGAAGGCAAAGGAAGAUCCAAGGUCUACAAUAAUAGAUGAAGAUUAUCAAGAUGAUGAAUAUAGUGAAGAUUACUGUUAUUACUACUCAGACGACCAUGAGGAGGAGGAUGAUAUUAGCUCUUACGACAGCGAAGAGUCGUCGACAGAAUCGACAAACAUGAGGAAGAAGAAGAAGACGUUUGUGGUUGAAGAAGAAGAAGAAAAAGAUGUAUUGGUGGUUGGAGGCUGCAAGAGAUGCCUAAUGUAUUUUAUGGUUCCAAAGCAUCUUCAAGAUUGCCCUAAAUGCAAUAAUGGUCAGCUUCUCCAUUUUGAUCGCUCUCAAAAUCACAUUAUUCCAUGAACUCUUAUUAUUAGACAAAUUAAUCUUUUCAAUUUCAUUCCCUUUUUUCUUCUUCAUGAGAAAAAAUAGAGGAAGAAAGAGGAAGAAAUUAUAUAUAAAAAAAAAAAGAACAAAAAUUCCUCUUUCUUUCUUUCUUUCUUUCUUUCUUUCUUUCUUUCUUUUUGGUUUGAAAUUGUUUCCAUGUGUAUUUGUCAGAAGGGGGAGGCAAACGAGUUUUGGUUUUAGUUUUUUUUUUUAUUAUUUAUAAUUAUUAUUUCAAUUUUUCUUAGCUUUUUAUUAUUAUUAUUAUUUUUGUUUAAUUUUGAAAUGUAAUGGAAAAUGAAAGAUUGAGAAUCAUGUAAUGGGUGUUAACAUUUUCUUUUUGUUAUUUUUUAUUUAUGAUUACAAGAAAGCUUUAUAGUUAUAAAUAAUUAAUGUGUGAUGGGUAUCAAAGUGGAGAAUUUGAAAAACACAAUAAGAUUAUUAGAAAAAAAAUAAAAAUCGUUUAGUUAAUAUUUUUAAAAUAUAAGUCCUAGUUUAAUAAUUUUGACUAUAAAUAUUGAAUUAAUGUAAUAUCAAGUUCUUUAAAAAUUUGUAUCUGGUUUUUCAAAGUGCAUUUGUUAAAUUCUUACCCUUUAAAAAUGUUUUUUUAUUUUUUAUCCAAUAAAUUUUGAUACAUAACUAUCAAAUUCCAAUUCUAAAGAGUUAUUAGAUGAAAAAUUGAAAGUUUUAUUAAUUAAGGUUUAGGAUAUCCACAAAUUAAAAAAAGGAAAGAGAUAUUCGUCAAAUUAUUCCCAAUGAGUAUCAUUGUUUGUUUCUAUUGUGAGCUUCACCAAUCUCAAGCUUUGAAUUUCCUUCUUGACUCUUCAAGAAUCUCACUUAACAACUCUUUCAACAGAAGAAAAUAUUGAAAUCUAUUUAAGUUCUUAAACACUUUAAUUAGGAUUUCUAAUUAUACUUAAAUUUAAUUUUCUAUUUGGAUUAGGGUAUAGAAUAAUAAAAAUUGGCUAAAAAUUGAAGGAGACAUGUUGAACUUAUUUUGCUGGAAAUUGUCAUUGUAAAUCUUUGCAUCAACUUCUUUCUCUUUGAAAACUUCUUCAUUUGAUGCAUAAUUUAAUCCUUUGUCUCUGAAUUUUUCUUUUCUGCUUUAUUUAUUCAAAUAUUGAAGAUUUAAUAAACUAACACGUUAAAGUUCAACUAUUCAUGCUAACCUAACUAAUAAGUAAUAAAGAAAUAACUUUAAUUUGGAAAAAAAUUAACUUUAUUUUUCUCUUGAACUCGAGAUUCGACUCAAACUUAUGAUUUUUUUCAAUAGACCAGUACAAACAUGUCUUACCACAUUCGAAAGAAAGGAUUUGAAUUAUAAACCCACCCUUGAACGUUUGAAAUAUUAACACAUACAUGUCAUUUGACCUAUGCUUGCUUUGGUAAAAAAGUUGAGCUUAUAAUUAACAAUAAAUACUAUAUUUCUAAAUGUUUUUUUAAUAUAACUUUGUAUUAAGAUUUUAUAAUUCAAAAUCGAGAUACACGUUUAAUCGAAUAGACAAUUCUACACUCCUACUUAUGGGUGUCAAUAACCAAUUGUCAAUUACUUUAUUCAUUUGUUUGAAGCUUUAUAUAUAGAGUCUUUUAAAAAACUUUAUAGUUAAUUAACAUGAAAAUAUUGAAUAACACACAAUUGUACAACGUAUAGAACAAGGUAUGUUUAAGUAAUGUUGUUAGGUCAAGACGAUAUUGAUAUGUUAAUAAUAUUAAAAUGAAACCGUUUAUGCUCUCCAAUAACGUACGAAAGUGUACAGUUUGGUAUCCAAAUAUUUUAAAUGAAAGACAGAAUGGUGUGGGCUAUUUGGAUGAAAUUGAGAUUCAAUUUGAUUAACUUAACAUUUUAUAAAUAAUUAAGCAUAUAAACAAAAGUUAAUUAAUAGGUAUAUACAAAAUGGAAUUUGGUUGUUGAUUGAAAAUUGAAUAGAAAAAAUAAAUAAUUAGAGUAAAGUAAGAAGGAGGAAAAAGGUGAGUCUGACCAAAUAAUGAUAAGUUGAAAAGGUGAAAUAAUCCAUAUAAUAAGAUAAGAAAGAAUUUUACAAUUCACAUAAAGUUAAAACUUUAUUUUUUGGACAGAGAAAAAAAAAAGGAUUCGAAAUUGAUGAGACAGAAAUAUUUAAAAGGUUUUUUCAAAAAUAAAAAAAAUAAUUAUGAUAAAUAUUUUAUCUACCAAUACAUUUAAAGUAUUACUUUUUAUACAAUAUUUAUAAUAUGCAUUUGAUUUGUUACAUGGGUUGGUUAUUAUAUAUAAUUCUCAUUUCACUUUUUUAUAAUAAAAACUUUAGCAUUACAUAAAUAAAAUAAAUUAAAAGUUAAAAACUAACCUAUAUUUUCAAUUGUUGAAUUUUACUUCCUCUAUACUUUUAACAAAUAAUAUUAUUUGUUAUUUGUUAGAAAUUUUCACUAUAAACUUUGAAAACAUAUAUAUUUCACACCUUCUAUUUUCUUCGAUGAAAAUUAUUUAACAAAUGUCAAUAAUUAAAAGUGAGCUAAUGUAUGAUAAUUAUUCGUCAUGCGUCAAGUGGGAAAAUUAUUUAUACUUCAUUCAGAUUAACGAAGAAGUGGAGAAUGAACUGUUUUAGUCCUUUCAUAUUUGCUUCAAAGAUUAUCAUAAUAUUAUCGAAACACAGACUAUAAUAAUAACAUAUUAUAAUAAUUCACUCUACGUCCAAAACGUUAGGUUAAAAACAAAUUUGAUGUCAAAUGUUUUAGUUUUUACAAUUUUUGAUAAUGAAUGUGUGUACAAGGGGAGAGGGAGAGGGAGAGGGAGAGAAAUAAUUGUAAAGAUCACGAGAGAGGUGAUUGGGAAAUGGCGAGGAAUGCCAUCUCAUAACUCAUAAACUCAUAAACUAAAAAUGAAAAUGGCAGACAUUAUUGUAUAUUACAUUAUAUUCUAUUGGUUUUUUUAGGAAUCUUUUCUUUUCUUUUUAAUUUUCUGAAACUAUUCUCUGUGGUUCCGACAUUAUCUCUCCUUCUUCUUUCACUGUCUAAAUAUAUUCCUUCUGCCAUUAAUAUACUUCCAAAACUCUCUCUCUCUCUCUAACAUUCGGACUUUUCAUGUUUGUGGGAAUCUUUCUCUGAAACUAUUCUCUCUGUCCAAUAUCCGACAUACCACCCUUUCUCUCUUUCUCCCUCUCAAUAUCACUCCUCUCUAUACAGCAUUUUAACCCUAACGUCUUAUUACUCUCUACUGCUAUACAUUUUAUAACUUUAACCACUCAUAUCUUUGCAUUUAUUUGAAGGUGAGAGUAGUGUGUUAGCUAGGAACAUUAUAUAUAUAUAUAUAUUUCAACCUAACGUAUGGUUUUGGAUUGGUUGAUGAUCUAAUAUUAGUUUUAACGAGAGAGACGUACAUCUUAAAUUCUUAACUAAAAGUUGUCUCAUCUUAAAUGGAACCAAAAUGAGUAGGGACACAUGCAUGUUUAUGUGAAAACUACUAGAGAGCUUAUAAAAAGACGAUUGCCAUCUAGCCCAAAAGGCCCCCCUUAUCGAUGGAGGCUAAGGUCGAGGCUAUCCUACCCUAGUUGGUCCCCUUGUGUAGGCCCGACCCAACCUUCUGGAUUUGCGAAGAAUGGUGGAAAUCUUAGGUUUAGCCAGCUCUUUGUAUAGAAAAAAAAUGCUAUAUAUAUAUAUAUAUAUAUAAUAUUAGAUUAUAAGUUCACCUUUUCUAAAAAAAUUUCCUUUUUAACAUUUAACUUCAAAACUAAAUUAAACAUCCAAGUGUUUGUAUACUAUUAAUGUGUAAUUCUAAUUGUUUUUACGAGUGAACAACUUUUCAAAAACACAAAUACAUCGAGAAGAGGUGGGUUAUCUUAGGGUAGAUUUUACCAACAAAAAAGUUAAAUUAAAAAUUUUACAUGCCCAAGCUCAACUCAAAUGAAACUUUUAUGGAAUUUUUUUAAAACAUUAUAAAUACAAAAAACUUUAACAAAUUGGAAAUUUUCAAACACUGUAAGUACCUAUGGUUGAUAAAAUCUAAAAUUUAAGUAUAUUUGAUAAAUAUUUCUAACCUUUUGUCAUUUACAAUAAUUACCCUAACCUAGGUAUUCUCUUAUGUUCUUUAUAAAUUAACCUAAAUCUUUUAACACGAGAACAAGUUAGGGUUCUCUCUAACUUUGAUGUUCUUUUAGCGAGUCGAUGAUUACUGCUCCCCUUAAUCAAAUGCAAGGUUGCAAAGACUUUUCACUUACUUUCACCCUCUAAUUGUUCCUCACGAAUCACAAAACCAAGUUCUCAACACUACCUCGAUCAAACACAUAAAAACCAACCAAAAUAAAGGAAGACAACUCACAAAAAGUAAAAGAGCCAAGUAGUGAAUAAACCAAAUAAGACAAAAUAAUCCGUCCUAGAACAUAAAAACGACUAAAAGACGAAAGAUAUAGACACUAUAGCCAACAAGGGCUCCAAGAAAAAUAUACCUACCAACACACCAUAACAUAACCAAUUACAUAAUUUAUUUAUUAGCCUAAAUGAACUUAUCAAGUUUUUUACUUUUAAAAUUAUCUUUUGAAUUGUCCGACUCAAUAUUACAAAAUAUCUAACCUUCCUCGUAUAACCACGUUUGUUUCGAAGAAAUAUUUUUUUAAGAUAUAAAUUUCUUUUUUUUUUUGAAUAAUCAUGUUUAUUUUACACAGUUUUUACUUGAAAAUGUCUUUAACUUUACCUACUAUUGGUUAAUUUAGAAUUGAUUUAAUAGAAAUUAAUUAAACUUAUAUAUAACAAUACUUGCUUUUAUUAAUUUAUAUAUUUUUUAAAAUUAAUAUAGUUUUUUUCUUUGUUUUUUUGUUAUUCGUUUCAACAAAUACAUAAUUGAUAAUAUUUAUUUUAAUUAUAAAAUGAAAAUAAACAAGAGUGAUAUAUCUAUGAAAGAAAAAAGACAAAAAAGUAAAAUGGGAACCUUCUUAACACGAACCCUAAAAAGAAAAACCAUGUUUUACGGGACACAUUCUAAAAUGCUCGAGAAUCUUCAAAUUGUAGACUAUGAUCUUAUAAUGCACAACAAAUAUGAUGAACCAUUGAGAAGGAUAUAUAUUUAUAUAUAUGUGUGUAUGUGUAUGCCUUUUCAUUAUAUUUUCUUGGUUGACAAUGAAAUUCUAAUCAUUUGCACAUCACUUUCAAUUCUAUCCUUCUACUCAUUGCACAAUAAGUACCUUAAAAGUAUUAUGUGAAAAAAUUCAAUGUAAAAUGUUAUUACCAAAGUGCACUUCAAAACUAUAUAUCAACAUUCAAUUAGUAAGACAAUAUAGGUUCAAAUUUCCACACUACUCUACAUGUUGUUUUAUUAAUAAUGGUGAAAAGGUUCAACUAAUCCAAAAUUAAGAAAGUUAAAACCUCUUAAUAAAAUAAUUUAAAAUUUAGAAUAUUCGUUAAAUAAAUUGUGUUGAAAGAGAAUUUAAUUCUCUCUUGAAAUUAGUUUUUCAAAAUAGUAAUUUUUGUUUAAUAUAAAAAUUAGCUUUUAAGUAGUUGUUAAAUAAUUUUUUAAAAAUAAUGACUUAUUUUUAAAUUAAACAUUUCAUAAUUUAUUCUAAAGACCCUCUUAGUCUAUGAAAAUACCAAAAAUUUAAUAACUUUAUAAGUUUUAAGUUUAAGAACCAUAAAUCAAAUCAAAUCUCCAAAUUAAUGGCUUAGGAAUUAUCACUUUUAUAAUUGUGUGUGGUUUUGAUAUUUGAUUUCUUCUGAUGUGAACUUUUAUUAAUUAAUUGUUUUCUAAAGGAAUAAAAUACAUCCAUUUAAAUUUCAAACUAGUAAGUAUAUUAGUUUAAAUUUUUACCAUAUAAAAAUCGUAUAAAUUUAUAAGCUAAACUUUUAUAACUUCAUGUUUAUUUAAACCUUAAACUUUAAACUUUAAUAAAUGUAUUAAUUUAAACCUUUUAUUACGUUUUAUUUGGAUACAAAGUUAAAUGUAUAAAUUGAUACAUUUAUGAAAGUUCGUCAGAGUUAUAUUUAAAUUUAUAUAGUUAUAGAAUUUCAUGAUUUAAAUUGAUACAAAUAUUAAUUUAAGAUUUAAUAAUAAUUAGAUUGAUACAAUGUAAGAUUAAGAGAUUUAAGUUGAUAUAAUUAUUAACUCAUGAACUAAAUCGAUACAACCUUCUACUCCAAUAUUUGAGAAAAAAGAGAGAUUUAUAUCAUCUGAAUUUUUAAAACACAUAUAUUUCAUCUACAAUUUUUUUUUUUGAGAAUCUCUCACAAGAUUAUGAACAAAUUUGAGUCCAAAACUUAAGUCCAAGUCCAAGUUAGAGGGAUUUGGCCCAAAACAAAAUGUAAACCCAAACCCAAACCCAAGUCCACUAUUUCUUUUUUUCUUUUUAAUCAAAUUAUCCCAAAACAAUGAUUCUUGAAUUUUCAUUUUCAUUAAUAUUUCUAUACAAUUAAAAAGUUGUAGAGAAAGGAAUGUGUAUUUGAUUUACAAGUUUUAUAAAUGUAUUUUUUUAGUUCUCACGAUAGUAAGGAUAGACCUAUUUGGUCCUCAUGUUUUCACAAGGUACGUUAUUAGUUAUCGAGUUUAUUCAAUGUCUUUUGCUUUUUUUCUCGUUAAUAUCUAGUUUAAACAUUGUGCGGCUUCGUUAUGCUCUUCGAAGUUGUAAUAAGGUGACUUACAAUUUGGCCAACCAUACUCUUAUUGUUGUUUCUUCGUUAGGUUAUUAGUCUGUAAAUUUGCUUGAGAUGAGAGAGCACGAAACGUUUCUUUAGAUUAUUUAUAUUGAAUGGAUUCUCUGAAAAAAAAAAGCAUGCAUUUGUACUUACUAACUUGAUCAUACUGUAACUAGUGCGAACUUAUACUAUUCCACCUUGAGAUUUGAGAUUUUAUUACCUUACCCCACAAAUUAUAUGAAUACGUUGGUAAUAAAAAGAUUAAAAAGAAAAAAAAAGACUUCAAGAUCAAAAUAUUUAUGUUUCUGUCUAUAUUUCGAAGUUUAUUUUAAAAAAUAUUGAAUUAUAACAAAGAAAAAGGAUAUGGUAGUUUGGAGUAAGCACAAACAAAACAAAACCAGAAGAGUUCCAUAACAAAACAAAUAAAUUCACACAAAGAAAAUGAUAACCUUCAAAUGCAACAGAAGGAAAUAUUUUUGAGGAAAUAUUUUUGAAGAGGAAUAACUUAAAUAAAUCUUCUAAAUAGAAGCUCAAAGCUAUUUAAAACAAUAGGGAAAUACUCACAAGCAUCGACACAAAUAUAUGCAACAUGCCAUUUUUUUAUUUUUUUGUCAUAGUAAAUGAAUUGAUUCAUUUAUAUACUUAAAAGACUUAGCUUAGUGUACUCCACUUUUUCGUCUACUCAACGAGAGUUCUACGUAUGUCUAAUGUAUUGCACAAACAUGUGUAUGAUAGGUGUCCAUCAAGUGUUGGAGUAUCCAAGUGUCCAAAACAUAUCUGACACAUACAGCCUAGCUAAACUAAAGUGUCAGUGUUCUUAGAUAAACAAGAGGUUGAAUAGCAAUUGUGUUAGAAUUCCAUCCCUAUAAUUUUGUAAAACUCUCCUAAAUAGUCUUCACAGCCGAGACUAUUUACGACAAUUAAGAAAAACCGUGAAUAUAUAAGGUUCGACAAAAUUCUAUAACUAUUCUGGAUUUAUAUGAAAUAAAAUAAUUGCAGGAACAUCAGUAAUCCAAACAAUAACAUAGCAUUAGCGAUUAAGCUUAUUUCAUUCAAGGCUGCAGAUAUGGGAGAACCCAUGUGCAAUAACUUACAAAUAACUUUUAAGAAAUUACAAGUCAAACGAGAUUACACAAAGGGCUGAUCCAUAACUCAACAAAUUUUGUUCCUAAAGUUUCAACAAGUAAAAGAAUCACUUCUCAAAACAUUCAGCAAUAGCAUUUGGUGAGAUUGUUUCAUAAGAUAAAAGCAUAUGGGAUAACUGUUCUGAGUUAGAACACUGAUGUUAAUCCUUCUUCAUAAACAAAAAUGUUUGAACCUUGAUAUAGCUGCUUACCGAUCAGAGCCGUCGUCGUUGCAGUUCAAACCAUUAUCAGUGCAUGGGAGACAAGUUUUGUCCAGGCAGUCAGGGCAAACAGUCAAAACCUCUGAAAUAAGCUGGAUCAAAGAACAGAGCCCACCCAAGAAAUUAUGAUCAAUAACACCACUGCUAUCUACAACGUGAGCAAAAUCAACAAGUUUAAUGGCUGGAUUCGACUUAGUUUCCAGUGCAGAUUCUUUAUCAUACACCAUCAGCACUGAGCUAGAAUAAAAAUGGUAAAACUUCUGAUUUUCAAACCAAGUUUUGAGCUCCAAUAAUUGUGCCAAAAUCCCAUUUGUACCACCAUAAACUGAUGGUGCAAAAACACAAUCAAGAUCAUCCACAUCAGAAUCUGCAGAAGCGUUUGAAGAAACAAAUUUCUUCAGAAUAAUCUUAACUUUCUCGGCCGAAGAGUUUUGCAAAAAUUUCCUCUCUGGCUUCCAAUAUCCAGCUUUUUGGCUCACAUGAAUCUGCAAUCCUGAAAUCCUAAACCCUAAAGCCAAGCUAGAGGUUUCUCUAUCCUUCUUAAAGCAUCUUUGAAUAUAAUCCUCGGAAGCUUGUGGAUACCAAGUUCUAGAACCAAUCUUAAUAUCCACAAUCGUCGGAUUUUCGUAAUUUGAGAUUAGAUCCUCCAAAACAAGGUGAGGAUGCAAGCCCGAACCAUCUGAUGCCGGUAUAUCUCGAGUUCCAUGGAAGGCAGGGAAGAAGGAACGAAUUUUAUCAGGAACUUUGGUAUUUGAAGAGAAUGAUUUAUAGAAAGCCACUUCCUUCGAACCUCGUUCAUCCUUCUGUAAAGGCUUGAAGAAGAGCCCUGAAUCAUCCACAAGAGGACCCAUUAUUCCACUACUGGCUUGAUGGCCAGCAACUUGAUGAUCUGGAAUCUUAAACAUGGCCUAAAGAGAAGUAGAAUGAAUGAAAGGAAGUUAAAUUCAUUGUCAUCCUGUUACAUCAUCAAAACAUUCUAGUAGAUUUAUUUAAAAAUACCCAAUAAGUUAUAGACUCCACAGAUAACAAGUGAUUAACAUGAACUUGAAUGAAUUUUGUAACAAUGUCACCAUCCCAUCUAAACACACCAUAAUUCUAAUAUAAGAAAGCUAUGAAUUCAAAGAAACAAGAGAAAGGGAGAUCAAACAUUAUACAAGAAAUUGAAGCAGUAGAAACCACAGACUCGCAAUUAAAUACAUGCAAUUCCCUUUAGGAACUGAAGGUAGCCUAAAAGAUACAAGCAAUCGCAAUCCUGAUCCAAAAACUAAUGCGUAAGAUCAACGAAAUGAGUGAAACUAUCCCUAACGAAAACGCUUAUUCAUUACCGAAUUCAAACGAAAGUUCAGAAGCAAUCAAAGAUGGGUAAUGAGAUGAAAAUAUGAGGGAAAUUCACUGAAUUCUUCGGCGAAUCAUCAAACAAUAAAAGGAAUCUAGAAAAACAAACAGAGAAAUAUGUAGAAACGGAAUUUAUAGAAAGAGAGAGGGAAAAUUUACCAAGCGUUGUAAAGGGAAAAGGAAUUUGAGGAAGAGAGAGAAGUGGCAAUGGUGGAUGGGAAGAAGAAGCGUGAGAGCAAUGGCUUUUAUAUUGAUGCACCUCGGGCGGCGGCGGCGACGGCGGCGGUGUUGCUUCCCCACCUCCGCAUCUUCAGUCAACAAAAGAUUACAACCUUUUUAUGACUUCCUUUCCUUUCCUUUCCUUUCACUUUUAAUCAUAUCAAAUUACAUCAAUUAUACUAUUUUAAAAAAAAGAAAAACUCAAAUCGAUCUCUAUUGUCAACAACAAAAAGUAGCUUUUGAAAAAUCCAAUUGGAAUUUUUUCGAUUUGAUAGUCGAUUCCAUUUUUCAAUUUAUCAUAUUCACUCCUUAAUUACACAUAAAAAAAUUACUUAAUUACACAUGAAAAAAAUUACUUAUUUUCUUAGUUAUUUAUUUAUCAUACACUCCUUAAUUACUCAUUUUUAGAAAUUUUGUCAAAAUUAUAAUUAAUAUUAAUUCUUCUAGAAAUAUAACUCACUUUACAAUUUAUUAUACAACGAAAGAGUAUUAUUCACAUGAUCGAAAAUGAACAAAAAUAAAUUCCUAAGAUGUUGAUUGAUCUUUACCCCCAAGAAGUUGAUAGCUCUCAUGACAAAAAAAUGAAUUAAAUAGUAAGGAAUUAUUUAUCUUUUUAAGUGGAAGGAAGCAAUGGGGAAUAAUGAACAUUGACAUUUGAGUAGGGGAAUAAUGAACAUCUUUAUCUAGUUAUUAAAAUUUGAGAAUAUGUUUUUUUUCUUUAAAAAAAUAAUAAAUAAGUAUUUAUGGGAAUUGUUAUAAUAGCACCGAACAAAAUUUAUAAAUAUUUUAUAAAUAAUUUCAAUAUAUUGUCAUUUUUUAAAACACCCCUAAGAAUUUCCUUUUUUUCUUUCUUCUUGAUAGAUUAAAUUUUAAAAAAAAUGGAAUCAAGAUUUUAACAAACAUCAAACAAGCUAAAUGUAAAUGACAAGAACUACAAGGUGGAGAACAAGAACAAAAACAAUAAAAGUUAAAAAAAAAAUAGUUAGAAAGCUUUAUUUGUAAAAGUGGUUAAAAUUCAAUUUUGUCAAAACAAAAAUUAGAUGAUGGGGAUAAAAAAUUUAUAUUUUUUUCUUUUGGGAAAAGUAAAGUAAAACUAGGUAAAAAAGAAGAGAAAAAAAGCAUAAUUUGUCUCUCUUUGAAAGUUCGUUGUAGUUUGAAAAUUCCCCACUUUUCAUCUCCAUCUCUUCUAUUUUUAAAGAUUUUAGAAGCAGAUUAAAAAGGAGGCCAAAUCUAACUAUGCCAAAAUGAAAUGGUUUGAACAAAAGCACUUUUGAUUGUCCUGAUUCGAAUUGAGAUUAGUUAAAUAAUAGAUAGGAAGCAUUAGGACAGAUCUACUGACAUAGAUGAUAUUAAAAAUGAUAUGUAACACUCUUUUUUGUUAUUAUUGUGGUUGUAAUUAUUUUUUAGAAAGAUGUUCAAAAUAAAGAAAAUAUUAUAUUAUUAUAUAUUAUUUUAUUGAAAAAAACAACAUAAGAAAAUAUAAACAAUAUCAAUUUGAAAAGAAAUUCAAAUCAAUUAAAAAAAAAUAUGUUAUAUAAUUUCAAAUAGUAUUAUAUCAAAUUAAUGAAGAGUUGUAGGUAAAGACAUUGUUGGAACAUUAUGUAAAGUAAAGAUAUUUUCGAGUAUAAAUCCUAAAAAAAAAAAAACAAAUAAAGUUAGGAAGUGUCGUUUAAGGUAAAGCUCUAAAAUGGAGUUUCGGAUGAGCAUCAGUUGAUCGAAGUAUAUUUUCCAACUAAACCAAUACCGAAUUAACUAUGGUCAAUUUAGUAAAUGUUCAAACUGACAUCAACUACAAAUGUUCAAACUAGUAAAUGAUCGUCAGAUUAUACAUUUGAAAAUUUUUAAACAAAUGUCGUCGAUUUAGAUUUUUUCCAAACCGACAUAGACCAACCUCUUCUUACCUUCGAUUUGGUUAGUCGACUCAGUUUUAUGGUCUACUAUGCUCAUCUCUACUAAAAACUAUUAAGGUUAAGUUAUUAAACACUAACUCGUCAAAUUAGAACACAUCAUAAUUAGUUUGAGGCGUUAGGUUUCGCACACAAUUAGACCUUUUUCUUUAAAUAGCCAAAUACAUUCCUUCCAAGGAGAAGCUUAUUUUGCACUUUUAAAUCUUCAUCAUCGAACGACCAAAAUAAGCCUAUCAAAAGAAGAUAAUAAAAUGUGUCUUAGAUAAUGGAGACACAGAAUGCAAUAAGAAAAGUUAUUAUUUUUCAUGAUAGGACUGGGAUAAAAAAAGGAAUCAAAUUACUAAUCAAAAUUUGAAAUAUUAAACAAAUCUCUGCUUCAACUGACGCAAUCUUGUCAUUUUCCAUUUAGUAUAGUACAAAAAAGAAGUGUUUUAUUGUUUUUCACACAUGUAUUGGUUUCACAUUAUAUGGUUAAAUGAUUAUCAAUCAAGUUUGUAGCUUUAUUGAAAACUUCAUCUUCUCUCCUUAAUGCACAUUUAUUAAUAAUCAACAUGUGUAACUCGACUAUCCAAACGUAAACUUCGUGAUCCCAACGUACCAACUCUAGACUUUAAAACGCAACUGCUAUAUAUCUCUAAUUAUAUUAUAUAUUGAACAGAAUACACAUCUGAAUAUAUAUAUAUAUUUUUUUUAUUGAGCAUAGAUUUCUUUGAGUAUUUUUUGUGGAGAAACUGUUAGGAUACUCCUAACAAGAAUCACUAUUUACAAUGAAGAACUACAAUAGGAUCCAAGUUUAUAGUACUUGGGACCCCCUCUCUUUGAGAAUAGUACUCAACUAACAGUUUUGAAAAAAAAGAUAACUUUGAAGCACUUUAGAAAAAGAGGGGAAAGAAGGGGUCCAAGAAAAGGGGACCCCUCUCUCCCUCUUUACCUUUGAAAAAAGAUUACUUUAAAGCACUUUAGAAAACCAGCAGUGCAAGGAGAAUAAAUGUCCUGUUUUAGAUUAUGGUGGUGGGUUCUCUAAACUGUUUUAAGACUAUGCAAAGGAAGCUUCCCAAUAUGUGUUUGCUGCCUUCCGUGUGCCCCCUUUGCUUGAAAACAGUGAGCUCCUAAUACACAUUCAUUUUCCAUCCCUUCUCAUCUAAUUGUUGGUUUAGCAUAUUUUCUAUGCUCAAAACAGCUUCGAUAGUUUUUCUAUGCUCAAAAAAGGAUUGGGUUGACAUCUUCCAUGAUUAAAAAAAGGAUUGAGUUGACAUCGUAGACAAUUCUAAAAAGAAAUGCAGCAGCUUGGUGUUCUUCAAAUACAAAAUUCAAAGAUUACUCCAUACAGGAUAUCUGCCUCAAUUGGACUACCUUCACCUAAAGAGAUUCAAUGAAGUUUCCCCCAAUUGCUAGUUCAGAAUUUGUGCUUUUGUAGUUUUGACGAGCUUUAUUAUGUAUUUCUACCAUUAAGUUUUUAUUUUUCAGCCUUGCUUCUUCUGUCUAAUGUACGUAGUUUAUAUUGUUAUUUUGGUUGUUACUUUGGUCUUUUCAUGACUGGUAUUGUUCUUGUAUUUUGGAUAUGAUGAGGGUACUAUGGGAGUGUGAACCUAGUUGAGAUGUCCAAUCUCACAAACAACACAUCUAAGCCUUUGGUCUUUUCAUGACUGGUAUUGUUCUUGUAUUUUGGAUAUGAUGAGGGUACUAUGGGAGUGUGAACCUAGUUGAGAUGUCCAAUCUCACAAACAACACAUCUAAGCCUUCAACAUUUGGGCAUCCAGAAAACUCGUAGGUCAUUAAAUCCUUGAUAGCUGGUCACGAUGAAUUGAACUCAUUCCUUCUAAGCCCUUUACCACAUCAUGUCCUUUAUGAUUAGGCCAAUCCAUGAUGAUUUAUCCUACCUGCCAACCCAAGCUUAAAUUUUUUUCUGUUUACAUAGGAAGAUGGGAUAAAUUUCCCUAUUUUCAGGAGCAAUGUAGCUAUUUUGCAAUAACUAGUUUUUUCAAGUUAUGAUCUUACUUAAUACCGAUCAUUGUUGUGAAUAUUGUUGAUGAUUGUUUCAUUAUCAAAAGUUUGGAUGUCAAUACAUGAAAAUGAAAAAGAAAAUAUAUAGGUAACAAUAUACUAAGUUGAAAAUUGAUUGUUUCUUACCGUUUUUUGUGUUGUUAUGUUGGCCAUCGCAGCAAAGAUGCAGGUAAGGAAAAGUAGGGAGGCAAGAAAACUCACAGAUAUGAUUCUGGCCAAAAUAAUGUAUGGCUGGGCAACAGAUUUUUUGACAUGAAUCCCAAGAACACCAUUGGACAGUUCUUUCUCUUCAGAGUAAAAGUUCCUGUAUAUUUGAACACCUGAAACAAGUUUCAUCCCCAUAAACCAAUACAAUAUUCAAAUGGUAGCUAGAUUAUUUCACACACACGAGAGAGAUAACAUAAGGAGAAUUAUUUUAAAUGGCAAAACUUCUAAAAAAUAAUUACAAAUAUAGCAAAAUAUCACAAGGUACUAACAAAUAAUGUUUCAAAGUCAUAAAGUACACUAAGCAAAUAAUCUUUUAGAAUUACUACGCUAUAAUAAAAAUAAAUAGGCAAGAAGGAUUAUAUCAAAAUUCUAUAGAACAAAAGAACAAAUAGAAAGUUCAUACUAAAGAAUUAUCAUGAACAAGAUAAUGAAAUACCAAGGAAACGAAAAAUUAUAGACAUUGGUAUUUUAUCUUACCAUCUGUUAAGGUUUUUACUCCAGGAAGAACGUUAUCAAGACUCUCUGCUUUCAACAUCGCAUAAAAUGAAGGGUAUUGACGUACAUCCUACAGCAUUCCAGAAGUUUGUAUGGAAAUAAUAUAGUGUAGAAAUGUCAAUGUUUUGAAUUUUUGUGGAAUUAAUACCUGAACCUCAAACAACAAACAUUUAUUGAAAAGUAUCAACGCUCCAGACUGAAUUCUGUACCAAAGAGGUUAAAAAUUAUUGGAGAAUAAAAUUACAUGCAACUUUGACAUUUGUGUUGUUUUGUCUAGUUCAAGACUAUCUCCCCAAACUGUAAAUUAACGAGCCAAUAACAACAAAGAAUCUAUGUAAUGUUUCACAGCUAUAGCCACUCAAAUGUCCCCAAUACUGUAACUAAGAAAGCAAUUUUAUAAUGGGAAAGUUUCUUGCAAUACCGAUUGUAAUUACCAGCAGCACAUCUUCCCUCCACUCUCUUUAGGCCAUCUAGAACCAAUUAUAUAUUGCACAAGAGAAAUCAAUGUCAAAAAUCACAACACUAAACCAAUAGAGCAACAAGACAAGAUUCCCAAGAAAACUACUACUAAAGUGAACCCAAAAGCUUAAGCUAAUAUCUUUUAUUAUAUUACUAACAAAACCUGACAUGUAAACUAUUAAUAUCCAUAAGAAGGAAUUUGAAUUCAAGACUCCUCUGAUAGGAUACCAUCUUGUCUAUACAUUGUGUCUAAAUUGCCAAUAGACAUGCCAUUGGUUACUGAUUCAAGUCACUAGAUGCUCAGUUAGGUAUUCAGAUGUUAAGCCUCUCUUAAGCAAUGAAAGCUAUUUGUGGUUAUUUGUAGUUGUAGUACACUAGUUGAUUUUACACGGUAAAAAAUUCAACUUUCAAGAGUAAGAAUAGCCUUUACUUAAAAGAAAAAUGAGUAAGAGGUAGAGGUAUCCUAGUGCAGAGUUCAGUAUAAAAGUAGUGACAUGAUUCUUUUCUUGUAGCAAAUACUUUGAUAACAGAGUUGGUGUCAUGGGGUGUUUUCGAGGUAUAACUUUUUGUGCGCCAAUCCUUGGUUAUUGAGUUUUUGGUAUAACGUGUGCUGUGUACUUGGAGCCCUUGAGUGAGAGAGGCUUGAUUUUUGCACGAUCUUGUUUACAUAUUCAGUACUUUUAAUACCAUCUAACACAAGCUUAAGAAUGUUAAGAAAAUAUAACAGAAUUACCUUUUAGCUGAGUAAAGAAAGGCUCCUGAACAUGAAGCUCAAAGUUUACUGUCUUUAGAACCUGCGAUGUACAAGCAAAAACUAAAUUAGACAUAGGAGAUGGGUGUUGGAAAUUGUCACGAUUAUAAACUCGAUCAACCAAUGAUAUGAGUAAAAGCACUUGCAUUUACUAAUUCAGCUCGUCCUUCAGCAAUCUCAUUACUUUCUUCUUCGUCCUCGAAGUCAUCUAGUGACCCACACGAUGCUUUGGAAACUGACUUCAAAAGAGUGGAUACUAGAUCCUUAUACAAUCUGGAAACAUCUGAUAGAGAAUGUGAUAUAUCGAGUGUGAAGAGAAGUAUUUCUCAUUCCUCUUGUUAUUCAUAUUAAAAUAUAAAUCAAAAACAGGAAAGUUUGUUUAACCUUAUGCUUGCUGAAGUAAAGAGAACAGGUACGUUUGGAUAAUAUAAACCCAAAAUAGAAUAAAUAUCAUCUCGCGUUUGCGUUGUUCAGAAACGAACAAGCAUUAAAAAUGCCCAUGAAAUAUCACAGAGGAAUCCAAAUACAAAGAUCUCAAAGAAAUGGGAGCAACCCAUUACAGAUAAUAGCUUAGUCCUUCAACGAAUCAUGAACUACAAUCACUAAUCUAAUUUAGUUCCGUUUUAUUAAAAUCAAAACAAACUACACUCAUAAAGUUCCAGAAUCUAAUUAGAAGUAGACCAUUUCUCCUUUACCACUGAAUCCGCUACCAAAAUCAACGACUCCCGACAAGUAAAUUUCAAAACCAACAGAGAAAAACGCGAGUUCAAGAGAAUCAAUUUCUACUACCGUUACCGAAAAUUAGAAACAAAGGAUUCAUAAUUUGAAUUUCAGUACCAGGACAAUCAUUAUGAUUGAGAAGGUGAGAAGAGAAGUCUGUAGAAAACCCUAGAUCAUGGUCUAUGUCAAGGGUUCCAUUGAUGUGAGAUUGGAGCGUGAACUUGAGCAGCUCUUCUAGGCAGUCUCGUAGCUCAACCGGCGAUGAUCCGGGUGAACAUGGCCGUCGCUGCAUUCUUUUCUUUUUUUCUUUUACUUUUUUUCAAAUUUUGAACAAUCACUAUUUAUAUCCGAUGGUGAAAAGCAGUCGAAAAUCGCAAUGCAUUGCUUAGAGGCUUUGUGAUGAACUAAACUAUAUGCUAAAUUGUAUGUAAAUUUUUGUGGGUUUGUUCUUGAGGUAUAACUAACCUUCCUAUCUUUUAAUCACGGCCUGCUAGUAAAGCAAAGUUACUAUAAGAAAUUCAAAGAAAACCUUCUCUCUCGGAUUCUGUAGUAAUCAUUUGUUUGACAUCUUUAGAUUACCAUAUUGUUUGUUUUUAUAAGAAUUCAUGUGAUUAUUUAUUUGAUAUAGUUUUAUUAUUGCAUUGAUUUUAUUAAAGGCAAAACUUGAGGAACGCGCUCGAUAACAUGUCAAGACAUUGUCUCUUAACAAUAAAAGAUUAUUUUCACAAAUAUCUCUUAACAAUGAAAGAUUCUUUUCACAUGUAAUUACAUGUGAUUGAUUAUGAUAUUUUGAUAUAUUUUAUAAAUAUUUGAAUUUAUUUUAAUAUAUUGAAAAUUUUGAGACAACAAAAAUUGAAACCAACUACAUACAUCGGCAACAUUAUUUUGGGUAAAAUUUAGCCUAUAUAUAUAUAUAUACAUAACACACCCACGUUUUGCCUCUAACCCUAGCCAUACCCAGAGCUCGCUUACGCGUAUUCUCGGGAUCACUGAUUAAUUCUAUCCUAAACCAAUUAUGAGAUGUAAGAGCUCUAUAUAAAAUGUCAAUGAUUAGCCAUCUCCAUCGUCUUUGGAGUCGAAGAAUUGGGUUGAACUGAUCCAUCAAAAUGGUGGAGUUUUUGGUCAAUGUUGGCUCUAAUUGUCCAAAUCAAGACCAAACACACCAUAACAAUUGAAACAAAAACCAACCCUACCCAAACCAUAUAGGCAUAUUUCUCCAAUGGCUUGCAAUGAUGUUCUAAGAUUUUUGAAAAUGCAUCUUUCACUGUUUGACAUUCCACAAGGCUUUCCAUUCCUGGAUACACAUUGAGGAAAUCUUGUAUUGAGUUUGUGUAAGCUUCCACUGUUUUGUACUCAAAGUUUGACAUGAACUGCCCAUUCUCACACCCUCCAUUGUUUUCAUCAGCACAUGUGAGAAGUUUUAGUACCUGAAAGAAUCACGAUGAUAUAAUAAUGUCGAUAAAGAUUGUGUUGAUGAAAAUGUGUCUAAUAUGUUCUUUAGAGUACUGUUAGUCACAUUAUCUCAAUUUAGCAUAACGCACAAAGACGAUGUUUAUAGUGAGGCCGGGGGAGACAAAAACGACAUUUAGCGCGAUGCUGCUUAAAAGUGAACAAUAACAAUAACGCCGUACGCCGUAACGUAUUUACCUUGGGGAUGUCUCCAAUACGGAUGGUGUUUGCUGCACAGUUUUGAGGUUGGUAUUCAUAAUAAGGAGGUUGUGAGAAAGGAUUACAAACCAAAGCAAUGUCUGGAUAUGAUAUAGCAAUUUGUGUGUUAACCUGAAAAAAUAUUAAGAAGUAAAAAGGUUAUUAUAAUUUGUGUAAUUAACUAACUUUAAGCUAAUAAUAUAAUUAAAAAAGUGUAUUUUGCAUAUAGAAUAAUUACCUGAUUAACCAGAUCAUAAAUCUCUGAACUUACAUCAGUAAGAACUGAUUUUGCAGUUAGAAGUUGCUCACAUGGGAGAAUAGAGCUUAGGCUAUUGUUGUUGGGAUUUUCUUGAAACAUUUCAAGAGCUUUGCAAGUGUCACUUGAGAAACUGAAAUCAAACCAAAAUCAAUUAUUUAUUUUUAGUCUUUAAAAACUGCCGGAGAUAUAUAUUAACAAAAUAUAGCAAAAUUUUAGAGAUAUUAAUCAUAGAUUUAUAUCAAUUUCAUAUCCUAUCAACUAUAGUCAUCGUUAAACUUCUAAAAUCUUAGCAAUGAUUGAUAUGGAUAAUGUUUAGACAUUAAUAGACGUUGAUAAAUAUAUAUAUCAAUGCAUGGACGGAUAUGCUAUAUUUGAAAAUGCAUGUAAUAAAAAUGAAAGUUUUAAGUUUAAAGAGAGAUGGGAGAGAGAGAGUUACUUGUUCAAGAAAAGGUACAACCCAAAGAAGAUCCAACACAGAACUGUGAGAAUCCAACAAAGGAGAAUGAAACUGCAAGAAAACAAAAAAGUCAAAUUUUUUAAGUAUGGUUUUCUUUUUGUGUGUGUUUUUAUGAGAAAAUUAUAUGAACAUUAAGGAGUGAGUAAUACUUACAGGUGAAGUAAUCUUUGUAAUCUGAGAAUCCCAAAUACUGCAAAACAAAACAAAACAUAUAUAAACAAAAUUGAACUCUCAUGUACAAAGCUAUUUAGGUAAGAAACCUUGCAAAAAAAAACUGACCAGACAUGGCAAUUACAGCUCCCAAGUUCAAAGACAUUGUAACCAUAGUCACUAUGUACCUGCAAAACCAUACACACAUCCCCUCUUUCAAUCCCGAGUACUGUUUUGUUUUAGAAUUUAAGAAGAAGAAAUAAAGAGAGAGAGAGAGAAGAAGUUUAAGGGUAUAGUAAAAUUACACAAUGUUGAGGCCUUUGUGGAUCAAAAGCCUAUUCUUAUUGGCUUGCCAUUGAAUAUUUGCAGCUUGAGCAUCAAGAUUGUGAGAAGUAGAAGUCAAAGUUCCAGAGGUUUCUUGAAUUCUAUAACUUCCAGUUGUUUUAGAAGCUUCUAGGUUAGAAAUCAUGUCUUUCAUAGCUGAAGUUGUAUUUUGAAUUGUAUUUGAUGCUCCAUUGGCUGUCUCUAUAAUGAUCUUCACUACAUUUUUUGCCUCUUUAUCAAAUCUAGUGCUUCCUCCAAUCACCACUCCACAUCCCACACUGCCAAACUCAAUAAAAAUAAAUAAAUAAAUAUACUGAGGUUUGUUCAUGUUAAACAUCACAAUUUUCAACACAUAAAAAAAGGUUAUUUGAAUUACUUUCAAGUAUACACGACUUACAUUGCCAAAAUGGUGAAGAAAGCAGCCAAAAGAAUGGUCCAUAGGUAGAAUUCCUGGCCAAGAUGUGGCAUUUUCUUUAGCUUUCGCUUUCCCCUUCCCUUUCCAGUACAACAUAGAGUUGCUACCAAAAAUCCUCCAUAUGCUAUUCCACACACAAGCCAUACCACUCCAAUCCCAUACCCUACAGCUCCUGUGAAAACUGUUGACUAUAAACAAACAAGAAACUGCUAGUUAGGUGAAAAGUUUUUUUAGUACAGUACGUAAAAGUUCGUUCUUAAUUUGAUACAAAAUUUAUAUAUUUACAGAAACCCUCCUAGAUGUAUUAAUACUCCUGAACUUUCAAAUAGAUAUAUAUACAUUAAAGCUAAACUUAGUAACUUAAUUUAUCCAUUAGAAAUUCAGAAUUAUACUUCUUUUUUAUACCCACAAAGAAAAAAGUUUAAAUUAAAAAACAAAUAAUAACUUUCUUGUCAUAUAGUUGCUUCCACCGUAUAACUAAAACUAUUUAUAAAUUUUCCUUUAUUUUGUAAAAAUUUUCUUUAUCACUUCUAACUUUUGUAGUUCUUUUUCUUCAGACUGGUGCAAAGGGCACCCUCAGCAUGCUUGCAUUGCAAACAAAUAGAGUUUCGUAACUUAAUCCAACUCUACUCAUAAACGUAAUAAAAAACUGGAAAUGAAGAAAAAAGAAAACUUACACUCCAGUAGUGUUUGUUGGUGAUGUUAUAUCCACCUCUAUACUUAUUGAAAUGAUUCAAAGGAUCAACUCUAACUGUAUCAUCUGCUUCUUUGAUUGCUUCCAACCCAUCAUUUUUUCGCACAAAAUCCCUCCCUAUACCCAAAAUUAUUAUUAAUUACUUUCAAGUGAUCUCUACUAAAAAAAUAAAAUUUAAAUUAACUAAAUUAAAUUAAAUUACCAUCUUGUAGUAGAGAAUUUGAUGAUGAAAUUUCCUGUCCCAAAGUUUCUGGGAAAAUCCAGCUUGAACUCACCAACAAGAAAACCAAAGCAAUUUUCAUCACUACUUUUACUCCAUUUUUUGAUCCCAUCAUCUGAAAAAAGAAAUUAUUCACACAUAUAAAAAAUAUUUUUUUAAAAAAAACAAAAUUACUGUAUUUAAUAAAUAAAUGAAAACCAACCUAUUAGUAAAUGAAAAAAAAAAAAAAAACUGGGAGAUGAUAAAAUAGAGAGAUGGAGUGAUUUAAGUGAAAAAGGUUUUGCUUGAAAAACAGAAUGUCCAAAUUUACAAGAAAGGAACAAAAACUAUUGAAUGGAAUAAUUUUCAAUUAUAAUAUUUUUCAAGAACUUCUUCAUUAUAACCUUAGAAAGAGAGAGAGAGAAAAAAAUACCAGAGAUGAGAGACAAAAACUCUGCAAAUUAAUAUGAACAUGUCCAACUUUUCAGGAGAAAAAUAAAACAGAAGAACAUAAGAAAAUGAAUAUAUAUAUAUAUAUAUGUGUGUGUGUGUGUGUGUGUGUGUGUGUAUGUAUAUAAUUAAGUUAUAUCUUUUUAACCAACUCCUCCAUUAAAUUUUAAAGCUCUAACAAAACCAAAACCAUAUACUGUUGAUGAUGCAUGAGAUGAUUGUAGAGAGAGAAAGUUGGUCUUCGUUUUACUUUCAACUUAAUCCAACACUUUUUUGUGGGUUUAAUUAAUUAUGUUCUUACUAUUCAUUUCAAAUUUGGGUUUUUGUUUGAAAAAGAAACCCAUAUGAAGAAUAUUAUGUGAGCAGAGUUAUAAAUUAUAAAAUAUCUGAUCUCUUUUUUCUUUCUUCUGUGUAGCCUAGAUGUUGAAGUCAAAGAAGUCAUUCUUCCACUAAAGUAAAUGAAGGGGUUGGUGAUGAAGUUUCUUGGCUCAUGUGUCUUUUGAAUUUCGGGAAUUUUUUUUGUUUAAUUUCCUUUUCUUUUUUUAUUUGUUAAUCCCUAUAUUUAAUUACAGACAUUAAUUUCCAUUGAAUAAAUUACAAUGAUUCCUUAAACCUUAAUGAAUUCUUCAACUUUGGUCUACACAAUAUUCAUAUAAAUUUUAUUAAUUUUGCACAAUAUUCAUAUAAAUUUUAUUAAUUUUGAAAAUGCAACGGAAAUUGUAAAAAAUAGUAAAUUAGAAAAGUAAAAAACAUUGAUAGUCAUUAUUAUGUCUAAUAAAUUUAUUUAUUUUAAUUAAAAAGUACUGUUGAAUAUUAUAAGAUCUUAUUAGAAAUAGUCUAUUUUAACAUUAAAUUGAUUUUAUUUUUUUGGCAAUAAAUCUAUAAAUUUUAACCAAUGUUUUCUUAAGAUUGGUAAAUAUAAUAAUAAUAAUAAAUAUGAAAUAAAUUUAAAACAAAUCUUAACAUAAUUAAUGUCAUAUUUAAAGUAAAGUUAAAAGUAUUAUUUUGGUCCUCAUUUAUUUAAAUUUGUCCAAUUUAGUAUAUGUAAUUUCAGUCAACCUAAAAUUAACUUCUCCAAGUUAUUUUUUAUGGUUAAAUAGUAAUAAUAUUUUUCAUGCAAGAAGAAACUACAAUACACAUAUUAUGAAAAGAAAAAAAAAGUUAAUAAAUAAUAAAAAAGAGUAUUUUUAAAAAUAGCAAAACAAAUUAAAAUAUUUAUCAGCUAUAGUAAAAUUUUGGAUUUUAUCAAUGAUAGUCUUCUAUCACUAUAGCAUAUCAAUGACUAUCAAUGAUAUAAUUUGUUAUAAGUUGUAAAUAUUUUGUAAAAUUUACCAUUUUUAAAAAUUUUCCUAAUAAAAAAUUCUAAAAACAAUCCAUAACAAUGAUAGACACGAAUAAAAUUAUGUUAUUGUUCAUUAAUGACGACAUUAGUACAAGUAGAAGUCUAGCGACGUCUAUCAUUAAUAAAAUUUAAAAUUUUACUAUAUUUUAUAAAUACUUAUUAAUUGUUUAAACACAAAGAAGAAACGAACCAAAAUGGUAAUUUAAGCUAAAAGUUUGUAUUUUGGAAAGUGUGGGUUCAUUGAAUGGGGUAAGUGAUGUGAUUGUGUGGUGUGUAGUUGAAUUUUCAAGAUGAGUGAAAUCGAAGGGGUAGACGUGGAGAAGAGGAAAAGGCAAAUUAUGUCUUUCUUUAUAGUCUCAAAAGGAAGCCAAAGCUAAGAAAAAUAAAAUUUGCCUUUUCAUAUUACAUUAAAUUAUACAUUUUAUCUCUCUUCAUCUACUUUCAUUUUCAUUAACAUUGUUAGAUGCUAUAAUUUUAGUCAAAGAAAAUGUAAAUAAUGUCGAAACUCGAAAUUUGAUUAAGAAUUCAAUUCUUUUAUUUUAGAAAUAUUAAAAAAUGUAAUUAAAAAUUGUAAGAAAAUAUGUAUUUCUAAAAAUGAAAAAACCCUUUAAUUUUGAUUAACUGUGUUAAUUUAUAUAUGCAUCAUUUCUAUAAUUUGUUAAUCUCUUACCUAUAAUUUUUUUAAAUUUUUUUGCAAAAUUUAGGUUAACUUUCUAACUAUUUAUAUUUAACUUCAAAGUUGAUCAUACGAACAUUAGGUCAAUUAAGUUACUAUUAUACACGUUUAAUAAUUUUACAUAUUCAUUCCAAGUUUUUUAAUUCUUACUUACAUUUAUAAUUUUCAAAGUUGGAUUUUUCAACUCAAUACAGCCAUCCUUUUUAAUUAUUAUUUUUCAUUUUUAUAAAGUGAAUUAUAUAUUGUCUCACCAUUUUCAUAAUCCAAACCUUCUUUUGAUAUUCAACCCACAUGGAUAAUACUCAAAUAAUAUUUGUUGUAGUUUAUAUAUCAAUAAUAUUUGUUUAAACAAAAGUAGUUUAUAAACAUAUUUAGUUUUUUUUUUUUCUUUUAAGAACCAAACCCUAAUCAAUUCAUAUUGAUCUACCAUAUCUAAGAAAUGUCAAUAAAUCUUUUAACAAUAUUGUUCACUGAAUGAAUUUAAUUAUUAUAAAUUUAACUAAAAAGUCAUUAUAGAAAAAUCAUAAAUGAACUAAAUGGUUACCCUAUACAAAGCUAAGUUAAGACAGUGUGUAUAUAUAUAUUGACAUUUUCAAAUAAUAUAACGUAGUAGUUAACUAAAAUAUUUACAAAAUUAGUAAAAUUUCAUAUUCUAUCAACAAAGUGCAUUGAUAGAUAUAUUGAUAGAUCAAAUAUUAGUGUCUAUCAAUGUUUAUCGAUCUUUAUUAUCGAUAGAAUCUGAAAUAAUCUUGCUAUAUUUAGUAGAUAUUUUUAUCCGUUUUAUUAAAUUAGAUUUUCAUACCUCUUUUCCUUACACAAAUCAAAACAACAUAACAUACAACUUAAGGAUUCCAUCUCAUUUACAAAACAAACAAGAGAGAAGAGAGAGAGGGAAAAAAACAAUAUUCAUGUAAAGAAAGUAAAAACAAUAUAGUAAUUAUAAUGAUUAUGAAGAUCCCUUUUGUAGGUAUAUAAGCUAAGUUGUUUGUGUAAUAUAAUUUGGAGUGGGAAUAUGGGUUUCCUUUGAAGAUUCUUCAUGUGUGUGAAAAGCUUGAAAUAUUUUAGGGUUUUUAGAGGUUGCUUAAUAAUGUUAUAAAGAGAGAGAGUGAGAAAAACAAAAAGUUUAAAUUUGAAAAGGAAGAAGGAAAGAAGAAAAAUACAAAUUUGUAACCAAUAAGGUAACCAUACUUUUUAUACCAUUAUUUCACAUUCAUAAAACUAUAAUAUAUAUGUAUAUUCAAACAAUAGUAAAAUAUUUGACCAAGAAAACACUACUUUUAAAUUAUAUAUAGACUCUUCCAAAUUAUGGUUUGAUAAACUUAAAAAAUGAUAGUAUGAUACUCUUAUUCACUUAAAACUUAAUUUUAAAAGGAAAACACUAUAACCAUGCAUAAGGGAGUUCUUGAGAUAAAGAGUAAGAAGUUCUCAACUCUUGAGACUCACAGCAGAUAGAGUUGGUAAGGUAUAAAAUUGAUGUUUUUAGUAGUGAGACGCACGAAAUCCUUAGAUAUAUUAAACAAGAAAGGGAGUUCACAACUCAAUCGUUCCAUACUUCUACUUCCAAACUCCUUAGUAAAAAAAUGUUUUAAGAAAAACGACUAUAUUGAACAGUGAUGAUAGUUCCGACGUUUUUUAAAACAGUUUAUUUUGAAAAUUAAACCAAACCUACUCAAGCUAACCUGAGAUCAAAAUGACAUAAGAAAGUGGUAAUAAAUUUUGUAUAUAUUUAGGUGUGAGAUGGAAUUAUUGAAGUGAACAAGUGAAGCAAUCAAUAUAAAUUAACAAAUGAAUUUGAAAAAGUAAAAGUCAAAAGAAAUAGCACAAAAGUACUUAAUGCUAUCGUUUCACAAAGUCUAACAAGUGGAAAACUAACGGCUUCCAUACUUUGAACAGCGACUUUUUCCCCCAAAAUUGUAUAAAUUAAACCCUAAUUUGGGCGUAUACUUUAAUUUAUAGUUCCCCUUUUCCAAAACAAUAAUAUUUUUAAUAAUUGUCCACGUCCGAGUUAAGUUAUUUUAAGUUAAUAAAUAAUAUACUUUAAAAUAAAUAAAUUUUAGGAGAAUUGUCAAAAAUAAAAAAUUUGACAAAAAAUUUACAAUUAUCAAAUUCUAUCAUUAAUAAACAUUGAUACUUACAUAUAUACUUCUACUCGUGGCAUUGAUAGAUAGUAAUAGAAGUCAUUUUUGUUAUUUUUAAAAAUGUUCCUAAAUUUUAAAGUAUUUAUUUAUAAUUUGAGUUUUAUGAAAUUUGAGUUAUUGAAUUUUGGUGUAGAUAAAUUUAAGUAUUUUAAGUUAACAAAUAAUAAACUUUAAAAUAAAUAAAUAAACCGACGACUCAAUCCAACCUGACAUACCUGGACUAUUUUUGUUGUCAAUAUGAAAUUCGGGUUGGUUAAAAAAAUCUUAUCAACCCAAUCCAUUACAUCCUUAUAGAGUGAAGCAUUCAAAUAUCUUACCUCAACGUUGAUAGCACGAGUGUUAUAUAAGUUGUUUGACAUAGAUACUAAUAUUAGAUAUAACACAGUUGAAAUGAAUACUUUAUCGGGUUUAAGAGAGACUUAAUAUAUAAAAUUAUGAUCUAGACUUUAAUAUUUAGAAUAUUAAAGUUUAGAAAAUAGUUUGAAAUUUUGUAGGGGUUGGAUUAUAAGAUGAUAGAGUGGUUAAGUUUGUUAAUUAAAAUGUUUGAGCAUGAUUUGUUUUUUUAAUGAGUUGGCAAAUUUGGUAACUUAUGAUAAGAUUGAGAUAUUUUACUAAAUAUUUAAUACAUUUUAACUUACAAAUUUCAUUUGAUAUAUUUUUUAAUUCGUUCCAUAUUUAAAUUCAGACAAAUUAUAAAAAAAAUAGAUCAUUUAAUAAAAAUAUUGUGUAAAUUUUUGUUUGAGUGGUAAAGAGUUUAUCAAUUUUUAGAAAAAAAAUCUUUAAUUUAUAUAUUUUUAAAUGGGUAAACAAUGUAUUUCCAAUCUUUUAUUAUCUCAAAGUCUCUUUCAACCAAUUUUACAAACAUUUGAAAGGACUAAAUUUAAGAUUUAUUGAAAAUACAAAAAGUAAAAUUGAAUAGUUAUUGUCUCAUUUGAUAAUCAUUUUUUUUAAUUUUAAAAAAUUAAGUCUAUAAAGACAACUUUCAUCUAUAAAUUUCUUCAUUUGUCAUCUAUUUUUUACGGGUGGUUGAAAAAACUAAACCUAAAUUUGAAAACAAAAAAAAACUAGUUUUUGUUUUUAAAAUUUGACUAAAAAUUCAAUCAUUUAACUUGAGAAAUAUGCAAAUCAUUCUAAGAUAUAGAAAGGAAAUAGACUUGAUUUUUAAAAACAAAAAACAAAACAUGAAAUUGUUAUGGAACAAAAAUUUAAAAUAUAAAAAAUAUAGAGACUAAAAUUGAACAAACUCAAUAACACAACAACAGAAUUCGUAUUUCAUCAAACAUUUUAUUACACGACAUUGCACCAAAAUAUCCAAAUACAAGACGAACUUUAAAUAUUCUAUGGAAAACCAAAACCUAACGUAAUGAAAAUUAAAGAAAUGUCUAAACUUAUAUAGUGGGUUAGGGAGAACUAUAACCACUCCACAACACUAACCAAAAAAUUUCAAUUGUAAUCUCUUUUGGGCAUCAAAAUCAAACAUUUAAACCUCUCUUUUUCUUGGUGUGCCAAAUGAGAGAGAAAUUAAUCAAAUGAAUCGUUUGAUAUAUAAUCUUACUCCGGUAUGUAAAUAGAAAGUUUUGCUAAAAUAAAAUUACACGAAGAAAAUAAAUAAAUUUGUAAAUUUUGUAUCUUUAAAAGUUGAGCUAUAUUCAAUUUAACUUCUUUAUGUUUUGUGUUUAAGAUUUGAAGUUUUUUUUUUUUUAAGAUUGGAGAAUGAUUCCAAUUGAUUCAUUUGAUUUUUUUUAUCACUAAUUAACAAUGAUUGUUAAAUUGAUGAAUUUAUUAGUUGAUUUGAUUAAUGUAAGGGUCGAGACCAGCGUUUUAGUUUUAGUAUUGAAGGAACAAUUUCUUGUAUGGCAAAUAUAAAAAAGGGUUAUUCCAUCUCAUCUAAUCAACAAAAUACUUAUCGAUAGAAAAUACUCAUUUUUCUCGAUUUCAAAUCGAGAACUUGCAUUGUGUACAAUGAUAACAUAAAAGCAAGAGAUUAUCACGAUUUUAAUUAUACAAACACAACAUUAUUCAGCGAGUUUCCUUUCAAGCGAAUAUCUUGCUAAUAUAAUUGAACUAUGAAUGAGUCAGCUCUAAGAUUAAACAAUUUGAAGAUCAGUCAAGUAUGGAAAGACAUAAAUCAUUGGUGACAACACCAUAAACAAUGUCGUGGUGAUGAGGUACGAAGAAAGGUCAAGCAGUUGUCAGGAAAAUCGCAACACCUUCAUACGGCGAUCAUGUAUGAAGAAACUUCGAUGCGAAGACGACGAUGACAAGGAGAGAGGGAAAACAUGGAAUACAAAUAAUCAACCAUUGUUUAUUACUUUUCAUUUCCCAGACCAUUAGAAAGAAAACAAUUCCUAAUUAUUACACAGCAUCUAAGUUACAAUCUAACCUCUUGAAGCUAAUGUAUAAAUCCAUAUAUGCUAAAGAAACAAAAAAUAAUAAUAAUAAUUAAAGGGGAACAACUUUGUGGACCGAAAGACUAAACAAUUUGUGAUGAUAAGCAGAAAAUUCUGAAUUGAGAAGGUAAGGUUCAGUUGAGAAAAUAUACUUUCCUUUCCUUUCCUCGCAUGUGGAAGUGAAUUGAAAGGGAGAGUCUGUUUUUGCUGAACCAGCUUUUGUGGAAGAUUUUUCAUGAUUGCAAGGAAUGAGAAGUCGGCGGAAGGAUCGUGUUCGCUAACUCUUCGUUCACCUUCACCGGAAGAGGUGGCAUCUGCUUCAUUACUUCCGGCAUUUCAUUUAAGCUACAAGCAUGAAGAUUGAAGAUAAGUUAGAGCAAUUUUGUUUGGAAAAUUCUGCUUCAAUGAAAACUCUCAUCAAUUCACAAGGAUAAAUCAUACAAAUUUGCAGUGAAUGUCCUACUCAAGACAUGAGUAAAUGAAAAUUUUCGGGUUUUAAUGCUAAAAAUCCUGACUGCUACUACGGGGAAGAACUCCUGCAACUAGGUCGAUUUUACCAAGAGCUAGUACAAUUUGAGCAACCUACACCUCGAAACUAAUUUAUGAAACCAAAAACAAACUGUUAACUUGUAAAAGAUUUUGGAAGAAACUCCUAAUUUCAAUCCUGGCUUCAAAAUCAGAAGUUAAGAAGGUAAAAUUAGUUGAUUCUUGAUAUUAACUUGUAGCCUUAUCAGACAAACAAUAUUUUAAGAAAGGAAAAUUUCGUCCCCAUUGGACAAUCCUGGUCUCAACCAACGUAUAAUCAACACUUCUAUUAAUUUCCUCUUUGAACAAUAAAUACUCUAACUAUUAUCACCCCCCAAAAUAUAUACACACAAUUUAUUUAUUAUUUAUAAUUAUAUUUAUAUAAUGAAAAAGCCACUAAUUGAUUUCUGACACUCAUCUUGAGUCAUCAAGCUUAACUGAACCAGAAAACUUUGAAGGUCAAACUUCAAGAAGUGUAGACUUCUAAAUUUCCAAAAGAAUCUCCACUCAAUUUUGUACAAAGAAGAUAUUUUUCUAGCCCAAGACUAUCUUGGGCUUGCAAGUGUUCUUUGUAAAUUCUGCAAAUACUAUUGUUUGUCUAUGUGUAGAGCAAAUGCUUUCUUUCACUAUUUUCCCCUUUAUUUACUCUGACAGUUUCUCUUUCCAAAUGUGUCUUGGUCUUGGCCUUCUAGCUCUAAAGAGCUGGUUGAACUUUCACGGCAGGAACAUUCUAUAGUGGCAGAGGUUGAAUGAGAUGAUCGAUUGACUUGGCUUCUAUGUUGUUAUAGAGUCUUCAGGUCAUCCUUGAGUCUGACUUCUGGGGCAUCUUUUGAUACCUUGAUCUGGUCUCCUUUGGUUUGGUGGUCAUGAUUAUUUUCGUCAAAAGAUUUUAAUGUCACUAGUGAUUGUGUCCUUGUAGCAGUGGAGUUGAGUCUCAAAACAAUUUAUUCUUUGGUUUCUCUUUUAGCUAAGCUAUUUGGGGUGGAUGUGCUCUUUUGGGGUGGUUGCUCCCUCAAGUUCGCAUAGUGGUGCAUAAAGCUUGAUUGAAUUAGUCGUUUUAGUGCAGGAGAUCGCCAACAGCGAAAAAUUUGGAUAGUCGCUUGACGUGUUGAUAUACAUCAUCUUUGGCAGGAGCAUAACCUUUAUGUCCAUAGUGCUACUUUACUUCCCUCAGGGUAAUUUGUCAGGCUAUUCAAUCGGAUUGGUUCUACUGUUGUUCUACAUGGCUUGAUGCCUCCACUGAGGGACUCAUACAGGCUUUCUCCUUGGGAUCUAUUUUUUAGGUUAUAUUUUUUUAAGUAUUUUCAGUGAGUUUGAUUAAAGGGGGAAAAGCAAGUAUUCAAUACCUGCACUUUUUGGAUUACUGUGGCUGUAAACAUGCUAUACAAGAUAAAGACGUAGAUUGUUCUAUUUUUUUUCUUUUAACGAAAACCAGCCUCUUUAUUAAUGAUAGUAAAUGAGACUUAAGUUUAAAAUCAAGAGUAUUAUACUAAGGAAGAAUACAGUCUAAAGUGAAAACUUAGGCGACAAAAAGUGAGGCAACCUAAAAAACGAAAUCAAACGGAGAAGUAUCAAACAAAAUAAAGCCUAUCGAAGACGAAACAUUCGUAGAAAGCUAAAUAAAAAGCAAAACUUGAAAACUCUCUCAAGAGGAGCCCAUUCAAAUAUAAAAACUUUGUACGAAUCUUCAAGAUGAGAGGAGAAAGAGAAGCGCCAAAGAGAAGCAACGGCUGCCUCAAAACUGUCUUCUUAAUGUCAUCCAAAACCUAGAGUAACUCGAAUAAAUUUUCCAAAACAAACAGAAACUGAUUCUAAAAGAACUCCCCUUUGAAGACGUAGAUUGUUCUCUUACAUGAUGUGCACUGCAACGUAGUAUCAGAGCAUGGCUGAAAUCUCUUAGCUGAAUUUCCUUUUUCUGUUUUCUUCAUCCGGAUUUCCUUCCAUUGAAGUUUGAAACCUUCUCUCAACAGUUGAAAAUCACCCUUGUUGAAGCCUUAUAUAGCCAGUGUUUUCUGGUAUUACCAAAUUGAAUCUUGAUCAAUAACUGAUAAUAAUAACCCUGAUCAGCUGGGUCUGAAUCACUUCUAGACAGCACCUGCUCCAUAUUUGAACAUAAUAGGUUUGAUUAUUGUGUUGCUACGUUGCUUCAUGGGAAUUGUAUGUGACAUCAAGUCUCACUGAAAUUUUCUGGUAAUGAGCAUAACCAUUGGUGCUUUAUUGAAAUUUCUUCCAGUGUCAUGAUUUGCUUCAUUGGAAUUUCUUUUGAGACUUACCUUCUUUGAAAGGGGAACGAGUGAAAUGACAAGUAAACUUAAUAUUAUCUCAACAAUCUAAACGGGUGUGUAAUGGUUGGUUAUAUGCAAUAUACAAACUUCAUGGCAUCUCAUAGCCCAGACAUAGCGGAAGAAAUCACUCUCCUAUCAAGAUCCAUCCAAGUUACUUUGCCCACUCAACCAAUCUUGGAGUUAUUGUCCUAUCGAUUAAAUUGAAAAAAUUACGUAUAGUUCAAUUGUGGUAAAGGCAAAGUUAAUGACAGCACAGGUCCUGUGACUCAAUCAGUACACAUCAAUCCAAAAUACAAAAUCUGGUAGGCAGAAAAUAAUAUGAGAACGUCAUGACUAAUUAAUUCCAUUAUUAAUUAAAUCUGCAAGAUCUUUGGUUGCUACCAAACCACCCCAACCACCUACGAAAUCCAGAAUGCAGGCCACAGAACCUCCUUCGAUUUAGAAAAUGGAGCAGAAUGUUUCCAGAUUGGGAGUAUACUCCAUAAUUGUAGACUGAGGUAGGAGGAAAAACUUUUGCCACAAAACCUUCUAAUAUUAGAUCUUACCUAAUGAGAAAUCCUAUGCUUAAGCACUCUGUCAAUGGUUGGGAAGCUUGUAUUCUCUACUUUCUGUUGAAAUAUAUCAGAAAUAGUGAGUGGACAGAAACCUUGCAUUUUUUAGGCAACUACUACACUCAAACGGAUUUGCAGUAAAACAUUAAGGAUGGAUUGGGCAAGGGACACCCUAUCUCCUUUAGAAAGAACGCAUUUCCAAACAUCCAACUUGGUCCUCGAUUUAUGGUAAGUGGCUCUUAGAAUUAUCAUCUACUAUAGUUUCCACCUGACGAGAAGCUUAGAAAAUUAUGGGCGAUUGUUAGCCAGAUAGGAAAUCUGCAGCCCAAUAUUGACCUCCUCACCAUACUCACAUUGAUCCCAAGCAGGGAUGUUUCAGCUAGACUUGGGGAAAGUUCUGCUCCAGACAAAAAUAACAUUAAGAUGUACCUGUGUAUACUAUGAAUUUUCUACUGCCACCCCACUUUGAUCAUCAAAGCUGAAAAAAGGCCGAUAACUAACCUCUCUAGUCUUCAUGGAAGAGAAAUUAAGGAACAAAUCUUCAAGCUUCAUUAAUAAUCUUAGACGAAGAGCUUCUCAAGAUCUUAAGUUUGCAAAAACUAGAAAGCCACAUGUUCUCAUCUCAUGAACCAAAUCAAAUCCAUCUAUUUCCUAAGAGCCCCAAGUUUACAAUCAAGCACCAAAACCAUUUGGCUAGAAGGCCCUUAUUUCAUUCCAAUGACCUGUGGAAGUGAAGACCCCUUAAGCAUAGGGAGAGGAACAAUAUUUUAGUUCAAGGCUGAAGUCACCCAUUUUAUUGGCUUCUUCACAUAUUUAAAAUAUGCUUGUGCAAGUAAGCAGUGUCAUUAAAAACUAAUAGGAAAUAAGCGAAUGAGUGCUGCCUUGGAACAACAAUUCCUACAUUUGGCUAUUUAUUUGUUAUCUGUGAGUUAGGUUCCCAUCAGGGAAGAACAUAGGAUUAUCUCCUAAGUAAAGACCUAUAUAAGAUGCUGGAAUCAAAUUAACUUUUCAACACCAUAACAUGGCUAUCUUGAAAGUAAAAGUUCACCAAGUUAAAGUUCAGCUAGGAGAAUUAAAAAUGAAGUCUCCUACUAAAUGUAUAUUAACAGCAUGGAUUAUUUGUGCAAUGUGUCCACGUGUUUGUAUGACAUUGAGCGUUCUUUUAUCCAAUUGUCUUUCGACACGCAUUUAAAAUGUUUUCAAUGUUACUAAAGGUACAUUGACAAGUAAGAAUAUUUGGAAAACCUAAGGAGACCCUUACAAAUAAGGGAGGAAAGUAAGCAAAAAACCAGUCUAAGCUAAUGUUAUUUUAAACAUCCAUUGGUUAGGACCAAAAGGAUACUCCAACUUCACUAGAACAAACCCUUUUUCAAUAUCCGUGAGCAUCCAAACCAGCUUUCACGCACCUCGACUAAUCUUAUGAGACAACCCCGCCUAACACUACAAUAUUUGGGUAUCAUGAAAACUCCUAAGAUAUUAAAUCCUAGGUACAGUUGAACUCAUUCCCUCUAAGCCUUUAUUAAACUCAUGCUCUUUAUUUACUACUAGGUCAACCCACAAUGGUCUACUCAAACAAAUAUCAUAUAUUAUAAAUGAACUUUCCUAUUAAAUGGACGUUAACAAAGUAAGAAUGUUUGAGAAAACUGAGGGAAGCGCAGCUUUUACAAUAAGGAGGAAAAAUGAGGAAAAAAGUAGAUUGAGAUAAUGUUACUUACUCGUUCAUUAUUUUGAGGAUGUUGUCCCGCGUUUGGCAGAAGAGACUGAUAUUAUCUUGUAUCUACAUAAAACAAAAUGUUAUUAGUUCAAAAUUAUGUUGUCCACUCUUAUAAAAGAACAUUAGGUUGCCUGGCAAGAAAUCAUUAAAAAAACAGUACACCUCAAUUGCCAUUCUUAAAUAAUGAAAUAUUUCAUGUUUUUAGUUUUAGAACGAAUGUGUUUGAAUGGACAGUUGUAUAUCAUGUUACAUAUAUAUACAUAGAAACACAGACAUGAAAGGCUUGGUAAAAUGCAAUUAAGUGAUUUAAAGAGGGAGGGGGCAAAUAGCAAAGAAGAAGAGAAUCAGUGCUCGCUCACAGAUUAUAAUAAGCAUCAGUAGGCCACAUAAUUUCACCAUCGAGCAUUUUUGAAUAAGAAAACAUUUUUUUACUGAAACCAAGGGAACACAGGGGACAUGAGGAGUCUGCCAACAAAUCAAAGGGACCAGCAAGAGUUUCAUUCCUAACUGCUAAGCAAAUCUUUUGGGGGGUUGAGAAAUACAAAAGAGUUUCACAGCAAUUACACGAUGGAAGUAAAAGUUAAAAAGAAGUCUAUAGAGUGAUUCAUAACCAACAGAAAGUGCAAAUCUUGCUGUCCAGUACAGAAGUUAAUAUAUCAGAGAAGGCUGAAAGAAAAAUUACUCAGUAUCAUCAAGAAAUAGAUACAAAUCCACAAUUAACACUACGUGAGGUAUGGUGGGACUAAAUUUUUGCUUUAACUUAAAAAAUUUUGCUUCAACUUAAAAAUGCUAAAACAAUAUCCAGACAACCAAGUACUUCACCUGAAAAGAUGCAAGAUUAGAAGAAAUUUGAUUCAUUGCAUGUGCAUUCUGUUCAAGAAGCUCUCCAGUUGUACCACCAAUAGCUGAAAGCAUCACAAAGACCAAAUGCAAAUGUUAUGCACAAAAUACAGUAGUUUCAAAAGAAAAGAUAUAUAUACACACACAACUAUCGUUGAGAAAAAAUGAAAGAAUACACGGCAUACAAAAAACAAAACCCACAAAAGGCAGUGUGCCAGCCUCAACUAGAAAGGGGCUCUAGCUAAACAAAAUGGUGCCCAUAUAAUUAUUGCAAACGAUCUUCAACGGAAGCGCAUAAAGAAACAUGAAAUGGUGCCUAUAGAAUAAUUAUAGAAGAUUUUUGAAAUUGAAGUGCAGGCACACACACUAAUAACCACUUACAUCAAAAAAUGAAAGAAUGCAAGAAUUUUAGAAAAGACAAAAUGGUGCCUAAAGAAUAAUUGCAAAUGAUCUUCCAAAUGGAAGAAAUAAAGACACAUGAAAUUAAUGAAAGAUAAAAAAUUAUUAGGAUCCCUCUCCAACCCUCUAAACGACUUUGUUGUUCCACUCAUCCCAAAGAUCCCAUAAAUCACACACCCCAAAUAGGCCCUUUUAGUGAAAGGGCAGAUGGAGGAGGAACUUCCAAAUCAUAUCACUAGUGUCCUCCCCCAAGCAAGCAAAAACCAAGAAAUGAUUUUGCAGCCACGUCACAAACUUGUAUGUCCAAAGAAUGUGGUCAACACUUCCUAUGCCUUCGAACAGAGAAUACAAUAAAACGGGCCAGCUAUGAGGGCAUCUUCCUUACAAGUGGAUCCAUAGUGUUAGCUCUUCCAUGUAGAAUUUUUUAGGCAAAGAAUUUCAUUUUCUCGGAAUCUUAAUCCUCCAACAAAGCAGACUAUCAAAAUAAAGUGAAGCCAUCAGAGUUUCCCCAAGCCCUAAAGCAAACUUCAUCCAGCCAUAACUCUUCCCAUCCCAGCCUUUCACGCUCCUCCAGCACUCUACACCAAUCUGCUAAUGAGAAGAAAAACUCAAUUAAUCUAAGAAAAGGAGGCACAUUUAAAACUGUAACCCAGCCCCCAGUGAACUCUAUCCUUCUUCCUUCCCACCAAUUGGAAACUCCAUGGCUGCACUUGAUAAUCUUCUUGCUCAAGCUCCGAACCUCUACUUAUCCUGCAAAUCAGCCUUUCUUCCAUAAAUGCACACUGUAAGAUUCGCACAAAAAGGCCUAAAAAACAAACUGAAAUUUGACUUUCUAUUCUAUCAAAUUCAUAAAGAAAUCCCAACUCAACCUGCUCCUGAGUACUUCCACAGUAACCGUCAUUUCUCAAUCAAAACCAAUUUUGCAAUCCCAGUCCGAAACCAUUUCCUCACCUUUCCAACUUUUUUAUCUUCCUCAACCCAUCUUUUUCCACCACCCCUCCUCAAAGCCUGAGAAUAAUCCAUCAGGCCCCUUGGCACCUCAUGGUCUUUGAUCAUUUUAAGUCUUCCACUGGGUUGUGCUAAACUGAUUGGUUCCUAAUCCUAGAAUAAUACAGGGCCUUCAAAAGACAAGCAAACAUUAUGAUAAGCAUUUAUACCUUCAUAACAUAUUGACAUGGUACAAAUUUUAGAGGAAAAAAAAGCAUCUCGGAUGGUUUAAACUGGAGACAAGCAUGGCAGUUGAAUACACCCUACAAUUUAUUACCUGCAUGUCCGAUAUUUUAUUUUUAUGAACGUUACCUAAUGUAUAUUAAUAGCGAAUCAUUAAAUUUACUCCCCCAUUUUUCACAUCAAGAGAAUGAAGAAUGAAAGCUGUAACAGCCCAAAACACGUAAUGGUGUAAACGAAGAAUGUAGAAACAAAACCUUUAUAUGAGACACCAUCAUCAUUGUCCAUAGGAAUCAUAGGCAUUCCAUAAGGAGGCACGUUAGGCCUUGCUGCAACCUGUGCUGACUUCAUUGAAGAGUCAGAUACUCUUUCCUGAAAUAAAGAAAAAUAUCAUUCCCCAGUCCUAAGACCAUGCCAAAAAUUAUGUCAAGACUUUCCAUGGAAGAAAUGGACAACUUUCCAUACAACUUACUAUUUAUUGUACCAAUUUACACUCUACUUCAAAUUUUGUUUGGAGAAUACAGUGUGAGAUUUAAAAUUAUUUCAAUUAAACUCCGAAUUGUUGUAGGUGAAUCAAUUUAAACCCUUUAUCAAUAUUACCUUCGAAAAACGCCAUUUCGUCAAUUCCUACACACGUGUGGACUUCAAAUGUCAAGUUAACAAAAUGGGCAAUCAAAAUUGAUGCAUGGAUGGGACGACUUUCCAAAAAAAGCAUCUUGAGAGCCCAUAUUGAUUUGCUUAUGAAAUUUAAAGCUUUAAUUGGAAAAUUGCAAGUCUGACCCAAUGUUUGUUUCUUUUUCUUUUUCUUUUUUUUUAAAGUUAACUUUCAUUACCAAAAGGAAAAUAUAAGUCUCACCUAAUGUUUAUGCAAACAAAACAAUAAUGGAGAAGAAGAAAAACCAUUCAAUUAAAGUUUCCAAAAUGGUUAGUUGUUUACAAAAUGAAUGUCUAAAGUUGAUGCAUAUGCUGCAAGUAACAAAUAAACAAUUGAACAAUAAAAAGAAAACUAAGAAGUGAACCAAAGAGAAGCAGGGAGACCAUAAAAUGCACCAAUAAUUUACACAAUACCUUUAAUACCUUUUUAUCUUUGUUCUUUCUUGUUAAAUUGUGUUCUUCCUUCCUUCUCUUGCUAUUUUCCUUUUUCUGACCCCCAAAGAAAAAAAAGUAAACCAAAGAGGAACAUUAAGUGCAUAAAUAAAAUUAAAACCUGAAAACGAUGAUAUAAAAGUAUAAAAAAUGUCCAUAAACGAUGAUAGAGUGCCUUUAUGCCAUAUCCAAAUACAGACUAAUAAACCACAUGAAAAAAGUGAUUUAAAAAAAUGUUUUAAUGGGUAAGCACUUGCUAACUGCUAGUAUCAGGAAGAAAAAUUAUUCUUUUCCUUUGGGUUAUAGAAACAGAACAAUCACGAUUACAAAAUGCAUUGACAUUCAGACCAUUUAAAGGCAUGCAUUAGAAUACAAAUAUAUGUACAUAUGUACAUCUGUAGGUAUGUAUAAAUGCACUUAAAUCUACUUUUCUUUUGUUUUGAAAAUGAAACGAGCCUCUUCGUUAAUAUAAUGAAAUGGAAACAAGAACUUCAUGGAGCAUCAAUCACAAAAUUGUGCCACUCUUAUAUGGAUAUUUCUUUACGAAGGAGGUGUUUGGAGAUUGGAAUGUAAUCAGAAUCAUUGGAAUCAAAGGAGUGUUGGAAAGCACAAGUAAUCGAAGACGAAACGGAAAUGAGAUCGUAUAGCGCAAAAACAGUAAGAAAUAGAGUUAAUAUUAAAAACUAUCAGAAUGGAAUGAGUUUCGUAUUACAAAUCGUACCAAAACACAUCCCAUGGCUAACCAGACACCCCUUAAUAGUAUUUCUGUCCAAUUACCAUGCUAAUGGUAUGCAUGAUUGCAAGUUAAGUAGCAGGAAACUUAUCAAAAAUUUAUACGAUAAUAGAAGCAAGAAUUGAGGAAAAUAACUCACGUUCAUCCAUCUGCAACGCAAAGCAACAUCUCGUACAGUCUUAUUUGGUAGUUGCAUUGCAAUCUUUGCAUACCGAAUAACACUAGACUCUGCGGCAUAUCUGUGUAUAAACCAAACUAACAUCAUUCACUAAAAAACUGGACCACCAAAAAUAUGAUAAGAAGGUUAGUUAGGUUAAAAGGACAAUAGGAAAGUAAUGAUAAUAAAACAAUGCACAGAAGGCAGCAGUUCAACUGUUCAAGUAUGACCUAUCUUAAAAAAAAACCUGUUCAAGUAUGACCUUUUGUCCCCUUUAAGAAACAUUAGAAAAUGAAGAGAGGAAGAAAGGAAGAUGGAAAAAUAAAAGAAAAGAAGCCUCCAAGAUAGAGUUUUAGCCAAGAGGCAGCUUCAUCUUCACAGUCUGGUGUCUGAAACAAUUUCCUAGCAGUUAGAACUUAGAAGUUCAUUAAAUUAUUAGAAACUUUAACUGUUCUUCAUUUUUCCUUUUUCUUUUUUUCUAACAAGAAACAGGAAUAAAUGUUAAUCACAAAAAAAAACAGCCUAGAGAGGCAGGAAUUCCCUCUCCCAAAAUAACUAAAGCACCAAGGUCUCUCAAUUGCGGAGGAUUUGAUCAAAGCCAUAAUUCAUGCAAGGUUGCAGAGUCGAGAAAUGAGGUGGACUUAUCUUCACGACACACUCUCCAGAUACACAUCAACAGAAUCCUUUUGGACAGCAACUUUGAGAAUGGCUUUUAACAAAUGAAAAACAUCUUAGGGAUCCUCAAAGUCAUACGAGGAUUCAUAGGAAGCAUGGUCUCAUAAUUCCAGGAGCCAAGAGCACAAAAUAUUCAAGUAGAACCUUUUUUUUUUUUGAAAAGGAUAUGUGUCUCUUUAUUAAUAAAGAUAUAAUGAGACAAAAGCUCAUUGUACAAGAGAGAUAUACGAAAUUCAAGUAGAACUCAUUUUACCAAUUAAAUGGUAGAACGUUUAAGUUAGAAUCUUCUUGUGCUUGUUUUGGCCACACUAGAUCUACAAAGGCAAGAUCUUUCUCUUUAUAUUUGUGCGAGUUGAGGAAACUUGCACAAACCAUGCCUAUUAUCAUGAGACAACCACCUAACCAUGCUACAUUUCAAGAUAUUAAAUCCUAAGUGGAGGGCCAUCAUGCCUUGAACUCAUUCCAUCUAACUCCUUUAUUAUAUUUAUGGCUCUUUUCUAAAUGGAAUCGAUAGAAAAUAUGAAAAAAUACAAGGGCAUGCAAAGAAAAAUAAUCCCACAAAAAGGGGGGGGCCUUUGUGAAAAGAGACUCCAACUAUGAAAAUAACAUCUAUAAAAUAGUUAUAGGAUUGACCAUUAGGUCAACUCAUAGUGGUUUAAGGUGCAAGAAUAAUUGUCUGGACUAAUUUCCCACAUAGUUUACCUAACAUUUCCUUGCCAACCCUAGAUCUAGAUAUAAACAGAGUUCUCAAGUAGGAAGUCAUUUCCAACAAGAGGCUCGGGUAAAUUCCUUAUGCAAGCAGGUUCAUACACAUUUGCAGGAGAAGAGAAAAAUGGGGAUUUCUUCCUAGUAUCUUGUCUUGUAUGUUUAUAUUUUUCUAUGAGGGAGGGAGACAAUAAAAGAACCUUCACUUUUGGAUGUAGGAGUUGAAAUUAAUUGUUAGUCAUUAGUUAUUUGACAGUUAGUUAGUUUUACCUACUGGUUGGUUUCUUUUUGUGAACUAAUCUCCAAAUCUGAUUUUCUAGCUCCUUCUCCAACCUUCCACUAUUGUUUAUGAUAAAGGACCGACUUGCAACUUUAACUAGUGUAGAGAUAUCUUUUCCAAGUUCCAAAUUAACGUAAAUUCAAGAGGAUCAGUAGACUUGUACCAAUAUUUCAAUGAAAAGCAUCCAUUCAUCAAAUUUCCGAUACUUUAAGUUUCUUCUCAAGUUUUCGAUUUAAGCAGCUAGGAUCCUACACCACCGUCACUGAUCUUUCUUUAGAACAAUCUACGUCAUAAACACUUGGGUAAAGGACACAAAAAAGGAGUGUAGCACCUACGAAUCAGAGCUCAUCAAGUUAUUUUGCUUUGAGUCUCUUUUGCAUUUGUCCUCACAUAGUCAAGGGUUUUGUACUGCUUGUUUUAUUUUGGUCUUAUGAUGUAUCAUUUUGUUGUAGUUCUUCCUUAGCUUGAGAUGUUAUUUAGUCUUUGUUCGUUUGUUCAGAAAUGAUGUGGACACUAGGGGGUGUCAUUUGAGAUGUCUAAGUGUGCCUCUAAUCCUUAGUUUUUUAUGUCCUUUAUAUAAUUCUUUUGUACUUUGAGCAUUAGUCUCAUUUCAUUUUUAAUGAAGAGGCAUGUUUUCGUAAAAUUAAAGAUUAAAAAAAAAAUGACUUUGAAACAUUGGCAUAGAUAUUUUUUAACUUCCAAACCAAUCACAUUAUGGCUCAUUUAAGAGAAAACAGUAAAUGGUAUUGUUUCUGCACAUAUCAAAUCUGAAGCGGUUGCACCUUUUAGCUUUCAAAAACACCUUAGAUAUCCCUAUAAGGCUGAAUCCAGUUUACAAUCAUAAGUCAAAUAAAACUCUUUAUGAUAGCAUCCAAGCUUUUUCCUAAGCAUAUGGAUUCCUUUCUUUCCUGUAACGUAAAACUUAGUUUUAAAUCACACAACUUUGGCCUUCACAUUAAAAACAAAGGCCAUCCCUCAAUAGAAACUUGAACAUCUUUGUGCGGUUGAAAACUGAGCCAAGAGAAAUUGAAGAAAUAAAAUCAACUAAGAAAACAUUGAUUAAAAAAAAGCAACAGACAUGACUAUUAUCAGAUGCCGAUGUGGUGAAAUUCAGAUAACAGGCAAAUAAUGGAAAAGAACAGCGAGAUGCUAUUAGUUCUGACCUGAGACUUCAAAAGGUCAAAUUCCACAUACACACAUAAAUCGUUAGCUACAAAUAAUCUCAUAUAUUUUCACAGCUGGAUAAAAACCAGCUCGGUCCACAAAUAUAGCCGGUAUGCUUAGGGAAUGUUCAAAAGAGGAAUUUUAAGAGACGGAGAGAAAAAGUGUAAAAAUUGUUCGUCAAGUACAAACCCCAAAAGCCUUGUGGACUUACUAGACACAUUCAGGGCCUUGUAAAACACAACUCCGAGGAACCAAUCUCGUAAUCUAACCAUUUAAAAAUGAAAAUUGCUGGAAAUUAAAGGGAAAAGAGCUUGAACAAGAAGUACAAAAUCAAUUUCCUCCAUGGAAGAAGAAAAAAAAUCAACCAAAUCGCUUAAUUCAAGCAACUUCCAUAAACGCAAGAAGCUAAAAACCAUACAUCAAAAACAAAAAGGGGAAAAAACUCACUUCUUAAGCCCUUCUUCCAGUGUGACCUGCUCAUCAGAUGUCCAAUCCGUAGAGAUGCCCGGGUUAUGCUUCAUAGCAAGAGCCGAACUCGAAUUAUCCGCUGCAGGCACAGGUGUCGAAUUACCGUUGCUGGGGUUCCCUCCAUCGAAGGAAGACGACGGUUGGCCAGCUUCUUGAUGGUUCCCAGAUGGGUUAGCCAUCAAAACUCACAACAAUUCAAACGUUUUUCCAAUCCCAAAUCCAAAUCCAAUCAAAACCCACCUCCUAAAACCACAUAAUUGACCGUUGGCUCCCGCCAAUUCAGAUUAUUUCAACAAAAAUCAAUGAACCCAUAAGAAAAAUGACUAAAACAAAAGCUCAAAAAUGAAAAUUGACGAUAGAUGGGUCAAUCAAUGAAGAAACAGGAAAAAAAAAAAGAAGAAAAAAGGAGGGAAAAUGAGUGUGGAAGAUUUGUACGGAUUAAGACUGAAGGGAGCUCGGGUAAAGAAGAAAAUAAACUAAAGAAAGUUGCAGAAAAAUAGAGAGAGAAACGAGACCGAUGUCUGUGUAUACAGCAAUUGGAGAGAGGGUUUGGAGGUUUGACGUCGGAAAGUGUCAACAUAUUCGUAAGCAAAGCAACAUUACAUUUCUUCCUUUUUUUCCCCUUUUUUUUUUCUUUUUAAGUUCCUUUUUCCUUCUUCUUUCUUUCUUUCUUUCUUUCUUUCUUUCUCUCUUUUUCUCUCUUUUUCUUCCUCCUUUUUCCUUUCUCUAUAAUUCCUCAAAAAAUAAAAUGUUAUAUUAUCAUCACACUUAUUAUCCUUUCAAAUUUUAGUCCAAAAAUACUUUGCAACUGUUUCUAGUUCGUUCAUCCAAACGUCUAAUCACAAAAUCUAAUUUUUUAAAAAAAAAUUCUAUUUAUUACUUAGUUUGAUUUUAAUUUAUCAAUUUUAUGUCAAACCAAUUUAUUUACAAACAUAUAUCACACUCUAUAUAAGAUUUGUUAUAUUUAUAAAUAAUUUCAACAAUUUUGUUAUUUAAAACAAAACUUUCCAUUCUUAUAUAUAUUAUCGAUUUAGUGUUUUAGAAUGAACGAUUGCUCAACAUGUAUUAGUGCAUAUUAGCCAUAUAUGUUUAGUGUUUUAGUUAUCAAAUUUCUUAUAAACAUUGUCAUUUUGUAUAUUUAUUUUAUUAAAACUGGUUAAAUAUUAAAAACAAAACAACAUAAUUGUCAAAAAAAAAAAAAACUUCUAAUUCUAAAUAUUGAAAAACUAUAUAUGAAUUAAAAUUGAACCAAUUGUUUUUUUCUUUAAAAAUUAACAAAAUUUAGAUCACAAUGGGCAAAAACUACCCUAAACAUAAAUAAAAUAAAAUUACAAACAAAUUUAAAAAGAGAAAAAAUAAAAGAAGAAAUCUUUUUUUUUGUAUAUGCUUUUAUUGUUUGUCAUUUUAUGGAGGCUUUUAAAUAGUUAGUGAUAGAUAUUUACAAUUUUGCAGUAUGGAACUUUGUCUCCAACGAAAAGGGAUUCUCUCAUCCUUUAUCAAAUGUCUAUUCUACCCCCUAAUUGCUUCCUAAUUUUUAUUCGAGCCAAUUUUAUAUUCAAUCAACGAGUCACUGAUCAAAAUCUAAAUUUAUACGUAUUUAUCAUUUGUUGAAUCAAUUUUGUUAUAUUUUGUAAAAAAUAUACAGUUUAUAAUUUUUUUUCCUUAAAUUUUUUACUAAACUGUAAAUUUGGUUCACGUGAUUUAUUACAUCCUUAAAAUUAUAAACAUACUCUUGAAAUUUUGAUAUUCGUUAAAACUGUACUUCUAAAGGUUGCGUAUUUUUAUUCUUCAUCGAUGCUUAAUUAGUUCAAAUAUAGCAAAAAAAAAAAAAACUUAUGAAUGUAGCAAAAUUUGAUAAAAAUCUACAAUUAUAAUAUAUAUAGUUUGUUGAAUCACAAUUUUGUUAUAUUUUGUAUUAAAAAAUAUAUACUAUUUGUAAUUUUUUUUUUAAAUUUACUUCAUAUGAUUUAAUAUAUCCUUCAAAUUACAAACCUACUCUUUGAAUUUUGAUAUUUGUUAAAAUUGUAAAUUUUCGUUGAAUGUUUAGAAUAUUGUUGGAUGUUAAACUUAAAUUUAUAUUUAAAAUAUCUUCCUUUUCUUUUUUACUUUUUUCCAAUUCUAUUAAACAUUCCACAAAAAAAUAGCAAAAUUUUAUAAUUUAGUUAGAGCUUCUAAUUUAAUUGUCUAGAAAAAACCUUAAAAGUUUAAUUAUAACUCUAUUAUUAUUUUGUUUUUAUUGUUUAAUUUAAAAUGCAAUUGAUUUUUAAAUCGAUUAAUAAGAAAUAAAUAGUAAAAAUAUUGUAAACUAUUUACAGAAUAUAGUAAUUUUUAAAAAAAUUGUUUCUAUAUUUUCUUUUCUUUUUGGAGUAAAAAGUAAACUUUGAUUCACUUUUAUUAAUUUGAUUUGAUUUUAAAAGAGGCAAUUUGAAGUAAUUUGUUUGUUAAUAAAUUUGUUUUCCAUAAAUUCAAACUUUUAUAUAUAUAUAACUUGAAGGACUUAUCAAUUAUUGAAGUACAAUGCAUGUAUGGGUAGAAAAAAGUCUCAUAUGACACUUGUAAUUUUAUAUAUCUACAUUUUUUUUGUUUAUUUGUUUUUACGAAAAGAAUACCUUUUUAUCUGCAAUAUUUUAGUUUAUUUUUGAUUCGAUCACUUUUGUUCUUAAUAUUUCAAUAACGUUCUUAUAAAUAAUAGAACUAUUAGUCACUUACUACGAAAGUUGACAACUAAUUCUAAAUUAAAAUAUAUUAGCGAAGUACCUAAUUUAAUUUUGAUAGGAAGAAAUGGAAAAUAAAUGAAAAGUCGAGAUUUUUUCCCAAUGUAAAAUCAGUGACAUUUACAUCAUAAGAACUCUCUUUUUUCUUUUUAUCGAAAUUUAAUAGUUACAUCAUUAAUAUCUUAGUUUUAAAUCAGUGUAAUUGUCAUCUUAACCAUCUGUCUUUUAAGUCAUUAACGAUUCUGUUAGUCUAAUCAUCAUUUUUCUAUCACUAACCGUUUUUUUUCAAAAUUGUUUAAUUUUAAAACAUUCUGACCAAAUAUAAACUAAACUCAAAAUUUAAGAAUCAAAAUAGUAUUUUUUUUUUUCAUUUUCUAUUACAUAUAAUAAUCAUAGAGUAAAAAAUUUAUAAAAUUGAAUUUAUAUUUUUAUUAAUAUAAUUUAUAAAAUUGAAAUCUGUAUAUGGAUUUAUGAAUGAAAAGAUGAAGCAGUGGCUUUCUAAAGCAAUUCAUGUAAUUAGGUAAUUAGGUGAAGCCUAAUCAUUGAUAAUAUUAUUAUAAGAUAUUGACAUAAUAUUUAAUCCAUGAAUUUGCUGGCAUUAAUGAAAUAAAUACGAAAAAGAAUGUGUUUCUUUUUUCAAUGUAAUUUAUUAUUUUAGCAAAACGCCGCCCCCUUUUCUUCUUCCUCGAGCCGCCGCCGGAGCUUUUGUCCACAUGAAAUUCAAAUUUCUAAGCAAUUUGCCGGAGCUGAAAUCAAAUCAAAUCAAAUCAAGUCAAGUCAAAGGCGAGUUCAGAUUUAAGGGUUUGAUUACGUUUUGGAAAUGGAUUAAGGGUUGCGUUUUGGGGGGUCAAAUUAGGGCUUUCUAUAAAUGGGUAAAAUUAAAGCAAAUUGAGCCCUAGAUUCUCUAUGAACAGCAUGGGAGUAUUGAUUGUUGGAAGAUUCUCUUAAACCAUAAUAGAGAUGAAAAUCAUAUCCCCUAAACAAUUGCUCUUAAACAGUGGUUUCAAUUAGACUUCGUGGAUUUUCUGAUUCAUGUUUUAGUUACUUGAAAUUGUGUUCAAAUUUAAACAUUUGAAAAUGGUUCUUAACAUUUAAAAAGUCACCAAAAUGUCAAAAUAGAUUACUAUAUAAUAAACCUAAAUUUAAUUUUUUUUAUAUAGAAAAACAAAUUUGUUUGAUAAUCAAAUACAUAGAUAGUAUAGGAAUACAGAUUCAAAAUUCCAAAAAUCUCAACUUUGUUUCUAUAUUUGAUAUCUUUUUCUCUACAAAUUUUAUCCUCUUAAUUCCACUAAAAUAUUUGAUUGAGUCCCUCUGUUCACAACAUUUCUCAUGCAUUCUGAAUUCUCUUUCCAGAUUUAUUUACUCCUAAAAUUGUCUACAAAAUUUUGUAACUUUUAUUACCGCAACUCUUUUCUUCCAAGGUUGCAUGAGAUGCAAGAAUGUAAUCAAAAUUACUUCAAAGAAUGUAAUCAAAAUUACUUCAAAGAUGUUGGAGUAAACGAGAAAUUAAGAGUAAAACAAACGUGAAAUUGUGAAGCAUGAAAAUAGUAGAAAAAAGAGAUAAAAACUAAAAGAAAAUAAUAAGUUUUUUAUUACAAAGCAAGUCCAAACACAAUAUGCACGCCUUUUGUUUUCCGAGAGAAUUUUCACCACACACCGUAUAUGCAUAAUACGUACAUGAACUAUGUCAAUCACUUUUUUUUUAUGAAAAAAUUUAAACUUUUGCUAUACUUGAUACAUAUUACUUUAGACUAAAUUAAACUAGAAAGAGAGAAGAAAUAAAAAUGGUAAUUAAGCUGGGGAGGGGAGGGGAGGCAUAAAUAGAAGCCUAAACAUCUAUUUUCUUUUAUCAAUUUCACUACAAAAAAUAAGGCUAAAUUGGGAGUGAUUUUACAAUUGUAAACCAUUUUUAUCAUAUUCAAAACUACAUUAGAACGUAUAUUAAAUAAUUUGAAAUCAAUUGAAUAUUUAAGUUUACACUUUUAUAUGCUUACUAUUUCCGGACAAUCCAAAUCAAUUUUCAAUGAGUAAGUCUUCAAGUAAUUUUCAACAUGAUAAAAAUAAUCUCUUUUCAAAUCACACCCAAAACCAAUAUACUCCGUUUUGGAUCCCAUGUAAGUUUAUUCUAUAAUAGUAACAAUAAAAUCACCCCAAACGGGGGAAAAAAACUGUCCUAUUAAGGAGGCAAUGCAAAACAUUAUUCCACUAAACACUUGAACCUUGGCAAAUCUGUCUCUUCAAAUUGCUGUUGUGAGGGAUUUUUAUGUUAUACCAGCAAAAUGACAUAAUGAAAAUUUCUAUACUCCCUAGAAGGGGGAAAAGAAAAACUCAAUCUUCUAUUUGAUGGCAAAGCAAACAUAUGAACUCUCUAUUAUCUACCAGAAUGUAAUAUAGAUUAAUUGUUCAAUACAAAAACCAAGACCACUUAGCAUCUAGAAAAUAUGGAAAGUAGAGGUUAAUAUCUGAAUAUAUUAUAUAGUGAUGAAAUGCUGCCUUCAAUGGCAAAGAAAGAAUUGGCAAUACAAAUUCCUCUAUAGGAUGAAAAAUCUACAUUCUACUCAUUCUACUCACAGUUGACACUUCUUGGUGCACAAGUAACUUAACUUUUUGACCAUGCUAUUGAUUUUUCACCUAUUUCGCUUUUCUAACUAAAGCUAUCAAAAAUGAAAUGCACUAACUUCUUCCCCUCAGGAUGUAUAGGUUUCUAAGGUGCCAUCAGCAGUACAAUAAUUGAAGGAAAAAUGAUUCGAAAAUGAAAUCAAUAACCUUAAGCCUGUACAAUGAAUUCCAAUUGCUCCUUGACGACAAAAGCGAAGAUAUUUCUUUCUUCCCAUUUCAUAAUCUCUGCACUGACCUCACGAAAAUGAGGUAAAACGAGAGAGAAUGAGUCUAUUAGAAAUUAGAAUCUAAAAAGAGUAAUUGCAUCAAAACUAAAGAAUCACUGUGAAAGAUGUAUGUUUUACCAGAAAUUGGUUUGGGCUCACAAGCAAUAUAAUUAACAGAGGAAUAUUCACAUGAAUGUAAUUCUAUCAUUAUAUACGUUAAGAACACAGCAUUUAUACACUAAAGCAAAUAAGAAAAGCUUUCAAGAUUUGUUUGCUAUAGUUCUGAGAUGCCCAUAGGCUAUAGACAAACAGCUAGAUUUCUAGAUUAGUUUUGUAGAGCCGAGUGGUGGAAUCAAGGACGACUUUGAUGACCACCACUUGAAGAUGAAUCUAAAGUUGAAAGGAGAAAGCAAUCAAGGAGAGAGUCUCGCAUUAUAUUUUGGGGUUGAAGAACCAAGAAGGCAUAAUAGAGGGAUUGGUUUCUGCAGUGAAGGAAAAUUAAUUGUGGCAUAUGAUCAUCUAAACAAGCGCAAACGAUCCCUUAUUCAUCAUUGAAAGGUUUGGGAAACAAAACAAAUAGCAAGUGUUAUGAAAUAUAUAUUUAUAUUUAUAUUAUAUGUCCUUUAUUGUCAUUGUACAUAGUGUCUAUGAUUUAUUUUAUUCUCUAUAUAAAUAUGUAACUUUCCUUUGACUCAAUAUGAAUAAGAAAUAUACUUCUCUGAAUUCUAGAUUACAGCAAGUACAUUGCAUAGACGCUCGACAAGUUCUCUAUAAGUGGGAGUGAACUCUAGAUUUCUAUUUUUCACCCUCUCAAACAUAUGAGAGAGAAAAGGAAUAAUUAGAACUUUUAUUCAUUUACAUCAUGUUCUAUAAUAAUACUAUCCAUGAAUAUACAAAUUAGCAUGUUAACUGUAUUUAUUGUCCAAAGGGCGUUAUAAAUGCAGACAUUGAGAGUCAAUUGUAAAGUUACCAAUAAAGAAUCUGAAGGAGGCAGUCGCAUAAACCUCAGUUUGAAUCUUUGAACUGCCGAUGCAUUUUUCAUCAACUGUUUCAUAACAGCUAUUACUGUACUUUUGUUGCUUCGUAUAAAUGGUGCAGCUCUAGUCCUCAUAAUGAGAUCGGAGGCUUCCUUUUCUUGAUUACCUGAUACAAAAAGGAGCAAGUUUCAAAGUACUUCUAUAACAACUAUAGGAAAAGAAUCAUAUCAUAAAAAUAUAAACAUGAACAAUAAUAUGCCACAUGAGCAAUUCAAAAUAUCCUCCUAGUCGUUCACAAUUCAUUGUUUCCUUUCCAGAAAGAACAGGAAAAAAAAAAAAAACAUUGUGAUCACUGAUCACCAAAAAGAUCGUCAACUGGCAACGAGAAAAAAGAAUAAUAUAAUAACAUUCAGAAAUAUUAUAUUCUUUUGUAAUAUUAAUAAGAAAGAACAUGAACUUCUCCGUAAUAAAAAUUCUUCCUGAACUUGUGCUGAAUAAUAAAAAUCAAUCCCGGGGUCAAUGGAUGAUUAUGUAUCAUGUUGCUGCUAAAUUUAAUAUAAGCAAUCAACCAAAAUAAUUGAUUCAGUUUAUGAAUGGAAAAAUGUCAUUUUGCCCUUCAAGAUAAAAAAAGGGUUGAAAGUGUUGAUUUUAUGGAAUUAAUCUAUAUUUCAUUCAUUACUUAAUAGAGAUACAAGCCUAUAUAUAACCAUAGAGAAAUACACUUAAGGAAAUAAUAUCAAAUAAUAUCUCCAGAAUAAUAUCUCCUAAGAAUAAUCUAAUUAUAUUAAUAGAAAGCAAUCAGUGCGAUAAAAAAUGCUUGAUACAGCAAGAUUUAAAAUAAAAAAAACUUAAACCUGCAUUUCACCUUGGAAAUAUAUUUCUUCCGUAAUUUGAUUGCUGUACGUAUACAUCUUUUGACACUAAUCUUCAGCAUCUUAUCAUUGAAAAUCUGUCAAAUUAAAAUUGUCAAUGCCGGUAGACACAAAAUAGCAACUUGAAAUAAUUAAAAGGUUUUUUUUGUUUCAAAGUAAUUUUAAACUUCCAUAAGGAACUGACGUCAGAUAAUUAAUUUUUUUAUGAUCACAAACAUAACCAAACACAAAUACACACGAGAAAUAAAAGUUUAAACUCUAAGGGUACACAAUGUGCACAUAAACACAAAGAAGAAUCCCAAUUAGAAGUAAAUUAGGUUAAUUCAUUUUAACCAAGGAUAACCAAGAUUAAUAAGAAAUGACCCUACUUAUCCUUAACCCUACUACAUCGCGAUUACUGAAAGGAGGAAGAUAAUGCGGCUGGACAUCCCUACAAAGACGGUCUCUAACUUUAGAAAAAACUAUGUUGCUCCGGCUGUGACAAAAGAUGAUUUACCGGAUUCUUGCAAUCCAAAUUUUGUGAGCUUGAAGAAAUAUUACUAGUAGCCCAACCAAGCAAUCAGAUGCCUUUUUUUCUUUCUUUCUUCGUGGAAAGAAACGGAGCUUUGAUCGAGAGAAACAAAAGAAUUUAUAAGGAUAGACCCGAAAAAACCUCCAACAGAGUAGAGUUAGACUAGUUACAAAAAAAGACUUCAAUCCAAAAGAAAAUAAAAUCCUAGUUAUAAGAAGGCCUAGUGACCUAGGCCACCUCCCAAACCUUAACACAGGUCGCUUCAACUCCAUAGAAACUGUAAUGUUUCCCUCCCUAAGAAGAAAAGGGCAAAGAAGUUAGCUUGCCACAAAAAAUGUCUCCUUACCAUCCCCCACGCUUAGGUUGAGAGAUAUUUGGGAAGCUACUGCCUAGGAAUAGUAUACUCACCCACCUUCCUAAUCUUUGAGACCAAGGAAGACGACGUUUUCCUAUUCUUACUCUCAAAAUUUUAGGUCCACAUUUUUUUACCUAACUUGUAGGAGUUGCCUACCCAAUUUUGACCUAGGUUAAAAAAUAAGUCUUCACUUCAAGGAGGGGAGUGCCUUGUGGAGCAAGUCCUUUCUUUUCUCUUCACAAUUGUGUUCUGUGGAGUCUUACACAGCCCCCUAUCCACAUUAAAGCAUCAAAAUGCCAGGGAGAAACCCUUUCAACGCACAUCCCACACACUGCCGGCCCACAUGCGUCUGUUGCAUACAUGAUGCUUGCCUUGCCUACGGGGAAAUGCUCCCCAGCAUAAUUGCAUGUCCUGCAUGGGUGUGUGCCCAUGCAUAUUAAGCACAUCCAACAUCUAAUUAAAGAAAAACAAACGCAAACAACAAAAACAGUGAAGCCAAAUCAGAAAAGCAUCGUACUAAACAAUGUCCGAUAGAACUGUAUUAGGGAAUAGAUCUUAAACUAAUAUAUUUCGUUGAUGGCUAGGAAGAAAGAAUUGGUAACAUCUAUCAGAGUCAAUUAGCAUAAAAUAUAUUUAAAAGCACAUACCUUUAUCAGAUCAUCAAUAGAACGUGUUUCUCUAAUUAUCUUUUGGCGAUUCGUUAUAAGGAUUGCUGCAACACAAUAAACAGGAAGCUCAUCAUCACCUUGCUUAGUUGAUGAUAUUGCAGUGCACUUCUUCGUAGGAUCAUUCCUUGAACAAAGAUUCCUUGUCAAGCCACAAAAAGCAUGGGCAGAUGUUGAUCUCAUUCCAGCAUUGUCACAUGAUGAACGUUCCAAAUUUCCAUUAUUUGAUUGUAAGGUGUCUUUCGUGUUAAUGUUACUAUUGUUCAUGUCUCCUUCACUUAUUUCCACUUCCGAGCCUCUUGGAAGUUGUAAGGUCAAUGCUUCCAGACAACUACUCUCUAAAUUGUAAGCUCUUGAUUCGUCAAAAUCAGCAGCCCACAUCAUCUAAAUGAAGGACAAUUAGCUGUUAUGAUUGAAAUGGGAUUAUAGUUUCAAUUCAGGUCAGCCAUAAAUAAAAAUCAAUUUUCCCAAUGUUAGAUCAAUUUUAGCUAUAUAAAAAAUAACCCAAUUACAAAUUUAAGCAUUGUGGCGUAGUUUAUCUUUUUAAAGUGAGAGUUGAGUAAAGUGAGAGUUGAGAGAAUGUGCUAUGUAUCAUUCACCAAAUAUCAAAGAGCUUUUAUUCCUAAGCAAGGAUUGAAAUAUCCAUCAAUAUGUUGAUAUAUCUUCAAUAUCAAAUAUCAAUAGUUUAACCAUUAAGGAAAACUAGAAGUCCAAAGAAACUCAAUAUUCUAUUGUGUAUCAUUCAGUAAAUAUCUAUGUUUACAUAUAUAUGAAGUAUGAACACUCGGUAAAAAGGGUGUUAGCGUUACUUCCUAUACAAAUUGAGCAGUAUGUAAUAAACAAAGUAAAAGAAGGCUGAAACCAUUGAAUACUGCCAAAAGCCACAAGUUGGAAAUUGGAAUUUGUCACACCAAUUGCAAUUGGUAGGGGAAUGAAACUUGAGGCUUAUGUCUUUCAAGCCUCGAAGCAAGUAGAUAGUUUCAUACCUCUAUCUUCAAAGGGUUACGCCUCUUUUAAUGUGUCACAGGUGUAAGCAAGGCACCUUAGAGCUGCUUACCUCUAAUCCUACGCCUUAAAUAAUUUCUGCAACACUGGUAACCAAAUCCAAAAUAACCACCAUGGGUUGAUCUAAUGGUCAAUAAUGACAAAUGUAAUUUUUCUUUUAUUUUAUUUAGAUUUUUCUAAUAUUAGUUGUGCAUUCUCUGUAAUAGUUUCCUUAUUAGUCAGAUAUUUUAGCCUUAUUGGCAGAUAUUUUUGUAUAGGUAGACAGACUUUCUUGAAUGAAAGAAUACCUUCUAUGUGUUUGAUUCAAAAUAUUGAAGAAAUAACAUAAUAUUAUUUUUUCUCAAAUUUCAAGUUGGAGCAAAGAUAGCAAUGAAUCCAGGGGUAAAACCCAUGUUCGCCUCUUUUCCUUGUUUUGGGUCAUAAAACAAAUAGUUGCAAAUGAUCAUAGCCACUAGUUUGUUAUACCAUAUAUCAUGCACCUGGACAAAAGAAAGCUAGAGACAACAAAGACAAAGUUUCCAUUUUUUUUGGACAAGAAGUUGCAUAGGCGUGAGAAGAUAUAUAUAGACUUGUCUUACGUAAUUAAUUCUUAGUACAAGUGCUCAGUAUACCAGAUAGUCUCCCAUAUACAGUUGUACUACAAAUGCAGCUUGUAUCAUCAGAAAGUAAAAUAGAGUUGAGCUAGCACGCAAAGCUUAUUAGUUCAUUAUACAACAAAGAAAGUACAUACUAGCAGAGUUCAUAAUUUAUGCUAUAAUCUUGCAAAGAAAACAUCCCUCCAUAAGCUGCCCAUAUGCUACAAAACAAUGUAAUGGAUACUAAUUUUCUGAACGAAAAAGAACACUAACCUCCCACAUACAAAGUGCCUCAUUAAAUGAUAGCUCCCGACGAAAAAGUACCAAGAGCAUUGGAAAUGCAAAAUGUAGGCUCUCAGCACCUAUAUGCGACAGGUGAGUGAAGAUUUCCCUGUCAGUAAGUUCCAAAAUUUUCCACAAUGCUUCCAACUGUUUCAUCACCCGAAUUGGGCCUUCCAUUUGAAAAUUCUCACGCUGGAAGAUUGCAACAGCGUGUCAGAGGGAAAGAUAAUAAGAAAAUCCAGUCCAAGAUAUUUUCCAACAUAACUCAAGUACCAUUCUCCUUAAGAGCAUCUCGAAACACCAAAAUGCGUCAGCAUUAUCCUCAAAUAGAACAACAAAAGGAGACAGCAAGUCACUCAUUCCUGAAAUCAUAAUUUAUAAUACCGGACAUUGAAGCAAAUUAAAUUAGUAUAAAACAUGGAUAGGGAAACCGAUACAAAAUGAAAAACAAUUCACAACCUUGGCAAUAACCAGUCGCAGGAUCAACCCAUGCAUAAACUGCAAGGAUAUCUGACAUCCUAGCUAAGUUUCUCGUAUCCUCAUAGAACUCAAGAUGACUAUCCGUUCGAACCACAUCUACCACUGAUAAAAAAUAUGAGUCCAAAAAGUCAAGACUAUAAAGAAAAAUUAGACCUGUACAUCAAAAAUAGACACAAAUCUGCUUCUUUCUGAAAUUUACCUAUUCGGUGCAGGGUCCAAAGCCAUUCAGAUACUCUACCUUCAGUGGUACCACUAUUACGGUGGACAGUUGCAUUUAAGUGUUCGGUUUCUGGUGCAUUUGGCUUCACGUUAUUGCAUGAGCUAUUGUUCUGAAAUUCUGGAUCGCUGGAAUCAGCAUGUAUCAUUUCAAUUUCAGAGCUAAUGGGAUGAGAAACAUUGUUAGAGGAUGAGGCAGUUGAUUCAAUAACUAAAUCUUCAUUGUUAUUUAUCUGAAAACUGUGCAUGCUGCCAUCUUCAAAUCUCAAUUCACGUUGAGUUGAAAGUUUGGCAUUAUGCAGGUAAUAUUUGUUCUUAUCAGGGUUGUCCUUGUCAAACAAGUUGAUGACAGGUAGAGGGGGAAAAUCAUAAUCAUUUUCUGUAACAAUUGCCGAUCCCUCUGCUUCACUCUCAGGUUUUAGGGAAUAACAAUUGCAAGGACCAGAAAUGGGGACACAACAGGUGGACCCAUCUGCCGCACUAUCUGUACUUUCCCUAACACUCGCAAGUUCUGCUGAAUCAUUCGAGCUUUCCUUUUCACAUGUGUAUGAUUUAUCUAUACAAUUAUUAUUCCUACAAAAAGAAUCUUCUACUGUAUGAGUAUUAUGAAUGGAAACUUCUCUACUUUCAUUCUCAGCUUCCCUUGGUCCAUCUUUAGAUGACGUCCUCAUAUCCAUAACUUUAGAACCCACAGGGUAGGCUAGGGAACCAGUUCCUAUGCUAGAAUGUAUCAUCCGACACUCCUCGAUCAGGAACUUGUAACGUUCCCUGCAUGAAAAAACUUAACAGUCAUUUCAUUUGAUAGUGAACCAUGAACAAAAAUGGGACAAUAUUCUGUUCAGGAAUAAGAAAGGUAUGCAGCCGCUAGCAAACAAGAAACAAGAAGAUAACAAGAGAGAAGAAAGAACAGGAGAAAAAGAAGAAUCCUCCAUUAAGAACUUAUUGUGUAGGUCAUCUUUGCAAGUUAGAACUCUAUUCGGGAGUGAUUCGAACAUCAUUCAUUUCUAAGUUCCACUUGGUGCACUAAAUAUUUCUUAGCAACUAUUCAUUGGUUUAAAUAAGAAGCAGUUCCAUUGAUAUGAUUAUUUUUGGAUAAGAAACUGCACUUUUAUUGAGACAAAUGAAAGAAUAUACAAGGGCAUGCAAAAAAAACCAAUCUCCACAAAAAAGAAAGGGAUCCAAGAGUAACUAAAAUAAUGGACCCCAAUUCAAACAAAUAAGACUUAGACCUACAAUUGAAUUACAAAAAACAAAAAUUGUAUAGCCACGAGAGAAACAUAAAACCUAACAAGAGAUCAAAUUACCAAAAGGUUUAAGUAACCAACACCCGUAAAGUGACAUUAUAUCUAGCCACCUCCCAAAACAUCCUCACCUAGUCUCUGAACCUAUUUAAGAAUUCUAUUAUUCCCCUCUGGAUUCAAAUGCCUAGUGGACUCAAGACUCCAAAAGUAAAUAUCCCCUCAAACUCAUACCGAAAGUUAAGCCCCUCAAAUCUAAUAUAAGAGGGGCGUGACAUCUUCCAUUUCCCUAUCAAAUAAAGAUUGACGGAAAUCAAGUGAAAGAGAAGGAGAGGGAGGGCUCCACAAAAGACUCAAGAAAUCGGUUCCAAAACAAUAAAUGAUAUAGACGAGGAAAUCCCUCCUAUAUUAACUUCAACCAGAGAAGCAAAGCGAGAAGCUCUUUCAGAAUUUGAGUUUAAUUAAUUAAUAAAAAUUGAUUGACUAAGAUUUAAAAAAUAAUAAUUUAAAAAAAUCAUAUGAUCUCUCCCCUUUGGAGGGAUUAAAAACAUCUGUAAAACUGUGGAACAUACAAUAUCGGCUUCUGGCAAGGUAUGUGGUUAUCAAACUCACUGUGGCUGCUGAAUUUCCUAGUCUCUACUCAUGAUUCUUGAACACACGACUCCUGAACCACCUAACUAUGAUACCGUCUUAAAAAACCAAUUGUCUCAAAAGCUUAAGCUUAUGGGUGGAAGGCACAUUUAGUUAUAUAUUACUAACCCUCCUCCCACAUGUGGACUUGAAAUAUGCGAAAGACACUCAAGUGGAAAUGAAUAUUAACUGAGGAGGAAACAACAAUGUAAACAAUUAUAAUAACAAUAAAUAAAAGGGGUGGCAAUGGGUGGAGAGUUUUUUCCUUGUUGACAUAUAGAUAUCUGUAUCUACAAGCAUAUAUAAAGGACACAAAAGUAAAAUGCAGGCUUGACUACGUCUAAAAACAGAAAAAAAUAAUCAAAAAUAAUAAUCCAACGUGACAAAGGAGAACUUUUGUUCAAGGGAGGUAAAAAACCUUCUGGCAGUCCUUAGUUGGCCACGGUGCUCAGCAGUGCUACCUACAGCAUAACAACCAAGCAAAAAUUCCCAUACUUCUGCCCUAAUAGACGGAUCCACACCCUGCCAAACCACAAUUAAACUUCUCUGUUUUAUACACAGUACCACAAUGAAGCAUCGAUAAAACUAACUGUUUUUGUGAUCAAAUACAAAGAAAAAUGUAGUAUUUGUCUUUUCCUGCGUCUUCAACAUUUAAAAUCAAAGUUCUAUUUUUUUGUAACUAUUCUCUCACAAUUUUGUUGACUAGCUUACUAGCUGGAGACCAUGUACUCAUUUUUGUAACUUCAGUUAUUUGCUCAUUUUUUUUCUUGACAAAAUUAGCCUUUUCUCAAUAACAAAGUCUAUACAAAGAGCAAGUAACCAGUUACCAAAUUGAAGAGGAAACAACCAAACAUGUACUCGUGUAAAGCUAUUAGGUGUCAGGUGGCAAUGGGUUCACAUCCUUUUUAGAGGCUUGGCUUCCAAUCCUAUUCUUGACAAGGAUUCGAUUAAUGAAGUUUGGAGGUACCAAAUACCAAGAGAUGAGCUAGCAAUGAUAAAUAAGUUGCUCCUCAAAUCAUUCAAUAAAACGUGAUGGAGAUUGAAAACGCGAAACGAAGAUAACCAACACACCAAUGCAUACAGGCAAUGGAAAAAGAUAUGGUUUUUACUUUCAUGUCUUUAGGCUACAAAGCAUUAGAACCAUCAUGGGUUAGCCUAGUGGUAAAAGGGGAGACAGUCUCAGUAACUAACUAAGAGGUCAUGGGUUCAAUCCAUGGUGGCCACCUACCUAGAAAUUAAUUUCCUACGAGUUUCCUUGACAUCCAAAUGUUAUAGGGUCAGACGAGUUGUCCCGUGAGAUUAGUCGAGGUGUGCGUAAGCUGGCCCGGACACUCACGGAUAUUAAAAAAUAAAAAAAAUAAUAGAAAAGACUACAAAGCAUUAGUGUGGAGGAUUGCAUUGAAGAAAAUCAAUCAUAUUGAGAUGGUUAUUGUCUGCUUUCAAAUGUAAACAGAAUUCGUGAAUAAGUUGGAGAUGCUUAUUAGAUGUCUUUUUUUAUUCGAAAGAAACACCGGAAAUGAAGGUAACGAUGAUUUUGGUGGAUUGAAAAGUUUUCUCCCUCCCUACCCACUUCCAAAUGGAUGUAGGAACAUGGCCUUCCUUGCAAACAGGGAUUUGUGUUUAUUGAAUAAAAAGAACCACUAUGGAGAUGGAUAAUUGACUGGUAAAACCUAAAUAGCUCCCCUUCCCUAGGUCUCUAUUGGUCUUUUGGCUGUAGAUGGCACAUAAUGGAAGUCGGUAAAGGAGAUAAAACUCUUUUAUGGAAGGAGUAGAGGCUCUCAAGUGUCCAUGUUGUGUGGCAUAUACGAGGCUGUUUUCUUUUUCAAGGAUUUUUUUUUUUCAUUGAAAAGAUGAAAAGACUAAUGCUCAAUGUAAAGGAAACUAAACUAAAAUACCAAAAUGAUACAAAGAGAAGAAAAUGACCAAGCAUGGGAAAUAAAUUCAAUCAUAUCUGAAGAGGCUUGAACCUGAGUUGAAACAAAGCGAACAAAUCUAAGGAAGACACUAAUCCAGAAAAAUCUCCAAACACUAAGAGGCAUAACCAAGGCUGUUUGUAACUUUCAAAUCAAGGGGAGAUACAGUAAACUUUUAUUUUUUUUGUGAGAAUUUUCAAUUCCUAUAACUUGGAAAUCAAGUUUCUCUAAUCCAAAAUGCAGGUCUGUAUACAGCAACAGGGUGAAGAAGCCAUUGUAGUUUCUAGUACCCCCUUAUUACACCACACCAAGAAGAAUUUAAUUUAUGUAACCUAAAUAAACUUGAUUAAGCUUCCUACUCCCAUAUAAAAUGGCUUUUGAUAUGAAUAUAAUUCACAAGAGAAAUUAUAACAAUGCCUAUGAAAACACUCCUAAUGCCAAAAAUGAAUGGAAAAUGGAACUGCAUACAUGAUUUUGAAAUUUUGAAAUUUUAUAAGUAGAUUGAAGGACAAUAAGAUAGUAUGGAUAGCCCCAACAUGUUCCUGAUGGCGUGGUAUAGUUUCGACGUUUCCUGAACCGGCCGAUGGUAGAAGCUUCUCUAAGAGCCCUCGUAAACUUUCCAAUGAAAUAAAGACCAAUGACAAACGUCACUCAACUCUACGACCUAGAGACAGAUCUACAUGGAAGUAAUUAUCAUCUAAUCAAUAAUAAAUAUUUUUUAUAGAUAAUCAAUAAUAAAUACUAAUUGCUUAAUUUUUAAUUUUACAUAAAAAUUAAUUAAAUUUAGGGUAUUCACUUUUUUUAUAUCCGUGAGUGUCUGAGCUAGCUUAUGUGCACCUCGACUACUCUCACAGGAUGGUAUGUCUGACCCAACAGCAAUCGGGUGCCAAGAAAACUCAUAGGAAAUUAAUUCCUAGAUAUAGGCUAGCAUGACUUGAACUCGUGAUCUCUUAGUCAUUUAUUCAGACUUGACUCAUUUUUUAACACGAGGUCAACCUGUGAUGGUUAACUUAGUAUAUUCACAUAUAGAUAUAAUUAUAAUGUAUUCUCAUAAACAAGGAAGAAUUAGUCAAUGAAGAGACUUGUUUUUGUUUCAAAAAAUAAAUGCAUUGUCAAAUCCAGUUAAAAUAUUCUCAAGCAUCCUCUUAAAAAAAAUCCAAAUCACACAAUCAUCCAAGGGCAACAAGCAUCUAAUUCCCUAACAAUCUAAUGUUUGAGCAUCUAUAAAUUUCCUAGAAACAAAAAAAAAAAGAUUAUCUAUUCACCCUCCCCUUCAAGCUUCUAAAAGUUAAAUAUUAAUUUACAAUAAUAAUAAUUUUUUUUUUUUUACAAUUAUUAAAAAAACUCAUUGCAUUUUAUAGGAAGUUCAUUCCACUGCCUACCAUCAAUUAUAAAACGAAGAGAACUACCUCUGUUCUUCCAAAUUGGACCCAAACCCCCAAGAAAAACUAAACAGAAACUAAAACUUCAGGGUAAUUACAUAUUUUCUUAUAACAAACUUUAAGCUAAUUAAAACUUUCAAGGUUCCUCAGGUUUAAGCACUUGAACUUUUGGGUGCUCAAAUUUCUCCUAGUAUUUGGAGGCAUUUUGCAUCGAAGUCUAUGCUUUAUGAAAUCUAUAGGAGCUUUUUUGAAAAUUAAGCAUGCGUUAUACACCUUAAGAUCCAAAAGGGGGCAAUGAAAUUAUUAGACCAAAAAUUUUCCCAAAAAUUAAAUCUACAUUGCAAUUCUUCUUUUAACUUUUAUAAACUAUACUUGCUAAUUAUAUAGAUUUUUUGUAAGUCUUUUAGUGAUCCUUUUAACUUCAUGUCAAUGAAAUUCGGACAAAGCUAGCCAAUAAAAAAAAACAUGACUCAUAUUGUCAACUCCUGUUGUAUUUCUUUCACUUGGUUUAUUUUUCAACAUCAUAUGUAAUUAAUGCCAAUUUGUCAUUCUCUUCUCAUUAAAUUUAAACAAUUAAUAGUUGAUACAUUGAUACAUCACAAGCAAUGCAUAAUCACAAAAUCAAGGGGAAAAAAGGUCGAUGCUGCCUGGAACUACAUUUAGUGGCAAGUUCGAUGUUGAGACCUUUUUUUUCUUUUUGAUAAGAAACAAACAUUUCAUUGAUGAUGUUGAGACCUUCUUGGAUUGGCCCAGAGAAGUAGAAUUGUUCUUUGACUGACUGUCCAAAGAUAAGAUUUAAAAAGCUGAAGGAGAGCCUCCACAUGGCGAGAUCAAUUGCAAAUCAAUAGAAGGGGGCAUGAAGAGGCAUUCAGCAUUAUUUAGUGAAGCGUUUUACAUUUGGAGCAUUAGUCUUUUUCAUUUCUCCAAUGAAAUUUUUCUUUUUCUAAAAAAUUCCAAUGAAAUUUUCCUGUUCCUUCUUUCCGAAAAAGAAAAGGAAAGGAAAGAGAGAGAGAGAGAAUGGAUUUUUUUAAAAUAAAUAAAUAAACUUCUUGGUCAAAGAGGUUGAAACUAAUGUAAAGUUGGUUUCACCCUGUGAACAAUAAGUAAUUGCUCCAUGAUCAAUACCAACAUUGAGCUCACGAAACUUGUUCCAUGGCUGAUUACUGCUCCAAGAUGUUCCAUAAGCUAAGUGCACAUUACAAUUUAGCCGAGUUCAAGCAACAUGACAUCGCCCAUCUCGUGGAUGGGAAGAUAUCAAGAAAAAUGUAACUUUACAGCCCUUAUAUUAUCUUAUAGAAGUUGAAGUCUGUAGCUAUGGUGAGGAAAGUGGAGGACAGUCAAGCAUCCUCAAACCAAUGGCGAACACGAGUGACCAAAUAAACACUUGGUAAUUUAAUUUGAUGUCUUUGUGGGAACAAUGCCAAUGAAACCUUGCACUACCUUAAGCUGAGUUUUCCUAUAAUCAUAUGUGCAAUAGGUUACAAAGUCACCAUUUGAAUUAGUUUGUCUAUAUCCUAAGAUUCCUUGCUUAACUGUGGACCUUGCUACAUUACCUUCUACUUCAGAUGUUCAUUAGGAUUGUCACCCUCAAUCCUUUAACGUUUGGGAUCUUGUGAUGGUUCAUAUAAGGAAGCCUAGACUGCCUUCUGAGUGUUCAUGCAAGCUACAUCCAAAGAAAAUUGGGCCUUUUCCUGUUGUUGAACGUUCAACGCCUACAAGGUUGCCCCCACACUUCAAAAUCACUCCGCCUUCAUUUGAUCAACGAAAUGUUUCAUUUAAAAAAGAAAAAGAGUUACCAUGCCACAGAUGGUUUUCAUUUGGCUGCUUAAUCAACUCGAGAAUGAGUUAGCUUUAGGAGGGAAUUGAUGUAGCGUACUUCCUCUCUACCUCUCUUAGUUGUUUGCCCAUUUACUGAGGGCUUAAUCGUGGCUUUAGUCUUCUUGUAUUGUUGCAUUUAAAGUUAGUUUUUUGCUGCUGUUAACAGCCAAGUUAUCGGUUAGUUACUGUUAGUUCUUUUACCAAUGCUGUAACAUUUUAGUCUUUUAGUUUUACUGCUGACAUUGGCUUAGUUACUGUUGCCAAUGACACCAAGACUGGUCUGUAGCAGGUCCCUAGGUUGGUUGUAAUUGAAGUAUUAGACAACAAAGAUUUUUAUUCAAUAAUUCUAAAAUAUUUGAGUUACAUUAACGGAAGUUUAAGAAAAGGGGAAAACCUAAGAAAUAACUUUUUAAGAUAGAAUCUCGACAAUUUUUCAUGGUAAGACAACACAUACCCCCAAAACUAUUGAUUUGAGUGUCUUCUGAAAACCAAGAGCUUUUCCAUCACUAUCAAAUGCUGCCAGCCACUUCUCUGGCUUGAGCAUUCUGUUUACCUGCACCAUGAGAACAGCACUCCAAAUUUUGCAUGAACGCUAAUAAAUAAAAUAUCAUUGUCAUUCAAACUGCAUUAAAAAUCAUGCAGAAAAGAUAUUGUCAUUGUAACUAAAUAUCUAAACAAAUUUUUGUUUUCUAUAUGAAACAAAUAACGACCAAAAGAAAGGAAACAAUUUCAAAAAAAAUAAUAUUCAGAAUAUUUUAGAUUAUUACUUAUUUUAGUUCAAGUACAAAGUAUCACUGUGCAGAGUACAAGUAUGAAUAAAGUGUUCGGUCCCCAAUAGUGAAUACUUUUUUUUAAAUGGAAACAAGUCUCUUCAUUGAAAUGAUGAACUGAGACUAUUGCUCAAAGUACAAAACUUAGAUACAAGAGAUGAUUACCAAAAUCAGCAAAUAAAGAUCAAGAGAUGCACCCAAGCAUCUCAACUAGGUUGACACCCUAACAGCACCCCAUCAUAAUACAUCAAACAAGGGAAUUGGCCAAGGGAGGCAACCCUACGAUUAGAGGCACGGUGAAGUUUGUUAGUAAUGUUUUCCUUAGUUUCUCAGUAAUAUGGCAAUAUUUUGCCACCGCGUCUAGUUGUUUGGCAAUAUGAUUGUUAGUUAGGAAGUUUUCUUACAAAUCAAGGAAUGCCUGGAAGAAUGGAAAAACCUAGAACCACCUAAUUAGAUGGAUGGGGGAGAAUCAUCUCAUAAGAAAGAGGAAGGGCAACAUGAUGUUGGCCUUUAAUGGAACAGGUCCUAAUGAAUGGUUAUUUAGAGUUAAGCAAUACAUUUAAUUGUAUUGAAAGCAAUAAAACACGAAAAAACAACUUAGGUGGAAACCCAAGUACAAGGAGAAAAACCAUGAUAUUUUUGUUAUUAUUAUUUUCUGAUGAUUUACAAUAGGUACAAUGAAUGAGAAUAAAUAGAAUACACAAUGUGGUAAAAAAGGAAAAAAAUUAGGGAUUAGGGUAAAUCUUUCCUUAAACACCCUAUGGGCCAAGCCCACUAACUCUAACACUCCCCUCGAGUUGAGACGUAAAUAUCAAUGAGGCCCAACUUGCUAACACAAAAGUCGAAGUUUGGUCUGAGAAACCCCUUGGUGAGAACAUUAGCAACCUGUUGGCUCGAAGGGAUGUAUAGAAUGCAUACGCUCCCACUGUCAGGUCUUUCUUUGAUGAAAUGUCGAUCAAUCUCAACAUGUUGAGUUCUAUCAUGUUGAACUGAUUUGUUGGCAAUACUAAUAGCGGCUUUAUUAUCACAAAAAAGCUUCAUUGGUGUUUCACACUCUUGAUGAAGAUCAAACAUGACUUUCUGGAGCCAAAUUUCCUCACAUAUUCUCAAACUCAUAGCUCAGUAUUCGGUGUCAGCGCUGCUCCUGGCCACAACAAUUUGCUUCUUACUUCUCCAAGUUACAAGAUUGCCCCAUGCAAAGGUACAAUAACCGAAGGUAGACUUUCUGUCAACAAAAGAUUUUGCUCAAUCUAAGUUAGUAUAUGCCUCAAUGGUCUUUCUGUCUGUCUUUCUAAACAUUAACCAUUUACCAUGUGUCGUUUUCAAGUAUCUCAAAAUUUUGUUGAUAGCUUCCAUGUGUUCCUCAUAAGGAGUCUGCAUAAACUAGCUGACAACACUCACAGCAAAUGAAAUAUCAGGACGAGUAUGGGAUAAGUAAAUCAAUUUACCCACAAGGUGUUGAUACUGUUCUUUAUGUACUGGAACUAGAUUAUUAGAGUUUCCUAGUUUACAGUUGAAUUCAAUAGAAGUGUCAGCAGGAUAACAUCCAAACAUACCUGUCUCGAUCAGCAAAUCAAUGGUGUAUUUUCUCUGAGACACAGAGAUGCCUU
rnacentral:lncRNA from 1 species